rnacentral:lncRNA from 1 species
UUUAAUUUAGGUAAAGUGUUAGAAUUUGAGAAUGUUACCUAAAAAAUAUGAGUUGGGGGCUGCGAAGAAGAACACUUUCGGCAGUCACAACAAGGUGCUUUAGAUAAGUUUUUUUCAGUUUCAAGUAGCGCUGUGCCUGAGCGUGAUGAGAACCUUAUAGAUGCACCUGAGAAUCAAGAAGAGACUAUGUCACAAGAAAGGUUAAAUGGUUUGGCUAUGUGCACCAUCGAAAGGGAUAUCUUGGACACUAUUGAUCUUAAUACCGUUCUCGAUGAUUUUGCAUCAAGAAAUGUCCGAAGAAAUUUAUUUAUAUAAAAAGCAAUGAAUAUGACGAAAUUCUAUUUUUUCUCAAGGUAAUCAUAUUAGUUCUAAAAGUACAAAUAUAUUGCUUUUUAAUCUACACUGUUUCUCGCUAUUGAUAAUUAUCAGACAUAUUAAUUUUAAAUAUUGAUUUCCCUUUAUAAACAAAAAUAGCCUAUAUAUUAUAGACUAGAGAGGCCAUCGCGACGAGCUCGCCAGAGGGCCCUCGAAAUCGUAGGGCCGGCGCUGCAUCUAGUGAAAAGAUAAUAUAUAUUCUGAUAAUUAAUCAUGAAUUAAAAUGAACGGCAACAUCUCGCACCGUGUUCCCACGCCGCCUGCGCCACCAAGCCGGGCUCCCAUGCCGUCCGCCACCAGCCAGGCCACCUGGCGCCACCAUGCGCACGUCAGGCCGCCGGUCGGGGCCCAACCGCACCACCGUGAUGUGAUCCCUGCGCCAUAGGCUGCCCUGCGUCGGGCUUCGCCGCCAGCCGAGCUGCCUGCGCCAACACGCCGUGGCCGUGAGAGCGGGCCGCACCGCCGUUCGGGGCCUGACCGCACCGCGUCGGAUCGUUCGGCUUAUAAGCCAUAAUUGUAAAUAAAAAAAUACUGUUAAAUAGUUAGCAAAUUUAACUUAUAAAGUUAAGUGAACAGGUUGUGUCCCUAUACCAAUCCAAGGCUGCCCCUGCACUGGCCCCUUUGUCACCACUUGCCACCGCCAUCUCAGUUGCUCCGAUGUCAACUGCGGUGGCGGCGACGACGACAGCGGCGCAAUCUGACAGCGCGUUACGGAAGAACUAGUGAAGGAACUCCUAAGGUUUAGCAGGCGCAGUCUCUUAAGGUGUCGGGCGGAACGAGAAUCCUUUUUCUCGUAGUGUGGCAGUCUCAUGUUGACCGUACGGAAAUGAAGGGAUUCACGGCCGGUCCGCGGGAGGUCGCCCGGUAGCAUGUGAGAUGGAACAAGGCACCGUGGGGGUGAUUUUUUUGUCCUAAGGGCAACUCCCUUAUUGGACAUAUUGAGAAAUGUACAAACACACAUCACAAUAUGAAUCUGUAUUGAGUUAUAUGUUUACACACUUCUCAAUAUGAUCCUAAUGGUAGAGGAAGUGGAAGCACAUGUCCUCAAGGAAAAAAUAACUUAUUUGGAGACGUGGUGCAAAAUGCCAAGGACAUACAAAUGCUUGAGCGAUUACUUGUCGCUGCUGAUGAAGACGAAGACGAUGACGUAGGACCUUCGGAUAGUGUCGCUUAUUUGGAUAAUAUUGACAGUGAUGACGAGACCUAUAAUCCCAACCACGAGGACUAUUCGUAAUACAUGUAAUACUAUGUCUUUUUUAAAUUAUUGACAUUUUUGUUUUGUUUAUUUAUUUUCAAGUCUCUAAUAUGCUUACUAAUAAGUCUUGUUUCAUUCUUUGUGUGUGCAGGUGUUUGAUCAAAGAUGGCGAGCAGGCGGCCACGACGUGACACACCCUCGGCCUACGCGAGACGCCCUUCCCUCACUGGCGAGGCAGAGUCGUCAGGGGCAGCCGCCGCAGGACGGCGCAGGAGGGGGAGGCCUUCCACGACGAGUACCAGCCAGGGGCGUAGGAGGCCGCGGAGUCCCACUCCAGACCCCGUGGCUCCAACGCUGGAGGAGUACCAGGAGGACGAGGACCAGGACGAGGGCCAGGACGAGGAGCACGGCGCGGCGCCCGAGGACGAGGGAGGCGCGGCGUCGGGUGUCUACCAGCGAGGUCCCGCGAAGCUCCCUCCAUACCCACUACCUCAGAGUCGAGCACUGCUUCGCCCUGUACCGCCCAAGUAAGUACAUCUAAAUGAUAUCACAACUACCUCAUCUGAUAGGUUUGAGAGUUUAGAGAGAAACUGACUAUUUUUUUCUAACUGGUGCAGGUCUUGGGAUCUGGUGUCGGGUACUCCCGUGCGCGCUCCCUCGACCAUCCUGGGUACCCUGUGCCGGAAGUACUUCCCCAGCCUCGUGGAGUUGGCGUCGGGGGCCCGCGAGCCGGCCACCACCUGGGAUAGGUACGCUUUAGGGGAGGACGACACGUACAACCCCCAGGAGAGGAUACUGGCCGAGUUUUGGGUAAGUUCCUUUCGCACAACAAUAAUUCACCCAUUACAUUAAAAUCUAUUUUUUUUUAAAUAAUGAUUGGAUGUAUUAACUUUUGUGCAGAGGUACUUCAGGGUGGAGGACGAAGACGUGGCCCUGGCUGAGUCUGUGGCGCACGCCUCCUGUAGGAAGUAUGUCACCGACAUGCACCACGAGGCGCGCGUCCAGGCAGUGAUAGACUUCUACGCGUCGGCGCGUAGUAUGACUAUCACGAAGGCUCAGGCGCGGACGAUGACGAUGACUCAGGAGCAGUACUUGGAGGUAGAUGAAUAACAUUCAGAUUGUCUCUUUUUUGAAUUUAAUAUAUUCAAUUAUAUCUUCAUAUCUGUCAAACACUCAUUGUCUUAUAGGUGAUUCCCUGGUGGUGUCGGGCGCAUGCCGAUGCCUGGGCCGCGAUCGUGGGUAGGUGGUUCACGCAGGACUACCUAGACAGGCACGAGUCUCACCACCAAGGCAGCAAGAGCCUCCCCGCCUUCAAAAAAUCAUAUGUAAGUGAUUUGUCUUCUAUUUAGUUUCGCGUUUAAUGUAUGCUUGAUUACUCACCCUCUGUCGCUUUUCUCGUAGGAGGCUGCGCACCCGGACGAGGAGGUGUCCAUGUUCACGGCUUGGGCUGCGUCUCACCAGACUGCAGGCCAACGCAUCUGGGACGCAGCUGCCUCUCGCGAGGCAUACUCCGACCCCAACGUGUACGAUAAGGUCCAGGAGUACACGUCGGCGGUACGGGAGCGGCACAGGCCAGAGUACGACGUCCGCACCGAGCCACUAGAUGCCGAGGCUGUCAUGAGGCUCGGUGGCGGUAGGAAGCACGGCCGGGCCUGGAUCGCAAACGCCGCCAUCGACCCCAACACCACCCCCACUCUCAGCCAGCUCAGAGCACAGAGCACGAGCUCCAGCCAGCCCAUCCGUGCACGGCCGACUCCGACAGUGAGCAUGUUAGCUUCGCUCCAGGUAAUUCUAGGUUCUCUCAUAGUAAAUUAAUAUUCUCGCAACUGAAUUACAUUUGCAUUACUGAAACAUUGGAGUGUAAUCUUGCAGGACGACAACGCCCAGAAGACGGAGCAGAUCACGGCCCUCACUGCUCAGCUGGAGGCUGAGCGUCUCGCGCGAGAGGCCCAGGACCAGAGGAUGGCUGAGAUGAUGAGGGUCCUGGCCGCUCUGGGGCAGCAUACAGGUGUGGACGUCACGAUGUCAGCUCCAGCGCCUCAGCUUCCGACGCCGUUUAGUUCUACUGUAAGUGUCAAAGUUAACUUCUUCUUUGUAACUGUAGUGCAGAAAUAAUUACUGUAAUCUCACAUAAACAUCUAACUGUUUGUGCAGCCUCAGUCGAUAGCGGGAUCCAAUAACCCGCCUCGUACGUCACCGGAUCCUGGAGCCUUCGACACACCACCCUCGACGCAGAGGCAGGACGGCUGGGGACGAUGGUGACUUCUCGCAACCCUAUGGUGCGUACGUGUCGGCGGUUUGAAACUUUGGUUCGAUUUGGUGAACUUGUGGACUACUGGAUGGUCGUGAUAUAUAUACAUGAUCUUCGUGAUAUAUAUAUAUAUGUGAUGUUCGUGAGAUGUAUGUGCUCGUUGUCGACUCUGUGUGUGUGAAGGUAUAUAUAUGUAUCUGUCUAUUGUCUGGAUGCAAAUAAACAAAAAAAAAUUAAAAUUUCUCUGGUCUUUGCCGAGGGCCUUGACCAUAGCCCUCGGCAAAGAUUUUAAAUUUUUAUUUGGGUAAUUUCUUUGCCGAGAGCUACCAUGCAGGCCCUCGGCAAAGAAUUCUCCAGAAAAAAUAAAAAAAGAUACUUUGCCGAGGGCCUGCAUGGUAGCUCUCGGCAAAGAAAUUACCCAAAUAAAAAUUUAAAAUUUCUUUGCCGAGGGCCUGUAUGGGAACCCUCGGCAAAGAAUUUACCAAAAUAAAAAUUUAAAAAAUUCUUUGUCGAGGGCCCAACGUUCGGCCCUUGGCAAAGACGCCGUCAGUUACAGCCAGUGGCCUAACGGCAUCUUUUUUUCGCCGAAGGCCGGCGUCAGCCCUCGGCAAAAUCUUUGCCGAGUGCCCGACAGAAGGCCCUCGGCAAAGACCCCUUUGCCGACGGGAAAUUUCCCGACGGCUCUUUGCCGAAGGCAGCCCUCGGCAAAGCCUUUGCCGAGGGUCUUAUAGCCUUUGCCGAAGGCUGGAAGCCCUCGGCAAAUCCUCUCUACAGUAGUGCUACGAUAAUUUCCAUCAUGCAUGACACCCAUGAAACCCACCUUUCUGAUCUUAAGUACAAGAGUCAAAUUGAUUAGCCACACCAAAACUUGAGCCCCUGAUCCAACCAAAGCGCAUGAGUAAAGGAAAGGCCGCCAUCCCAUGUCUCCAUCUCCGGUUUUAUCGAUGGGAUCAUCGCCAUCAACAGCAGGUUGACAAGGAGGGAAAAUCGCGCUGCCAAAAGGACGUUGGCAACAACCGUACAACUAGGUACCUUCCCCAACCCUUCGCGACAAGGGCCUGCUCCACAUAGACACGGAUCCCCACACCUAAAGCAUAAUGAUUUCCUCCAUUACUAAUGAAGGUACGUAAACUCAAGAGAUCUACUAAUCUAAGUCUAAGAUCAUGUGUCCUAAUCCUGUUUCAAUUUUAAUCCUAAGUAAUUUCUAACAGUUUGUUAUCAGGAUCGGUAUAAAUAAAUAUACUCUUAAGUUAUAUGCAUGUACCAGUGCAAUUCCCACUGAUGAGCAUAACAUGGAAAGUCAAGAUAGAACUUUCAUCAUAAUCAUCUAUGGACAAACUAAUUCCGACCUAACAUGUCAGCAUCAAACUCUUGGCUGACUUAUAUAAAAGAUCAAAAUUACAAUGUAAGGAGAAGUUGUCAAUGACUUUGUUUUUCCUAUUGCAGCGCACGAGCAUAUUUUGCUAGUAAAUAUAAUAUAAAAAUAUAUCUUAUGAAAAAAUUAAUAAUAGUCAUUUGAUAUUAUAAAUAUUAGUAUUUUUUAUGUAUAGUCAAAUUUAAAAUGCUUUAACAUUAAUACUAUGCUAGAAGCCUAGAAUUGCAUUCUUAGGCUGUCUCCAACAACCACUGCCCAAACACAACACGCAUUCUCUGAUAUAGGUCGAGUACAGUGUAUAGGUUUCCCACCCAAAUCGCUCCUUCUCCAACAGAGUGCGCCCCAAAUCCUGCCGCCUACUCCCAUAGAUGGUUCACCUCUUCCACGCCGCCUGCUCCGCGGGCCGGUUGCCCCUCGCCGCGCUGGCCACGCCCCACCGCGGCCGCUCCUCGUCUUCUCCAUCUCCUUCGCAGGGGACAAGCGGGUGUAGGGCGCCGCCGCCAACCCCGCCGUAGAAGACGCCGCCGUCGGUGCUCCCACAGUCCACGCGGGCCCUGCCAUCUCCUCGCCUCUUCCUGCGGAAGCCCGAGCUAGGAGGUCGCCGGCUGCUUCAUCUUCUACAGCCGGAGAAGAUGGUGAGCGGCUCCGCCAUCGACGCUGCCGCCGUGGACAUGGCCCCACCAUCUCCUUGCCCUCGUAGAUGACUUAUGCGCGCUGGCUUCUCCUCCCUUUGCACCUCGCCAUGGGCCACUAUGCGCCACGGAUUAGAUUCUUUGCGAGCACGCGACGCUUCUUUGCGUUUCCAUUCGGCCGUUACCCAAAAUAGGUCAUGCGUUUGAGUCUUCCAUUGGAGGCUGAUUUUGGUAUGCAAAGUAUUGUGCAGGACCUAUUUUUGCAUUUGGGUCUUAUACAGUCUUAGAACAUAGUCAAUUGGAAAAUAAACUUGUUUUACCAUGUGUAACCAUAUCUUAUAUUUGAAAUUUCAUGUUGACAAAUAAAUAUUUAAUAGAAAAUUGCUCCCGUGCUUUUGUCAUAGACUCGUAGUUGACCGUACGAGAUCGGAAGGGACGAAACAAUCAGCUAUCGUCCGGAUUUUAUCCCCUACCUUUCAGGCUUGUAAACAACGCUGGCAAGUUUUAUCCAUAUUAUGAAGUUAUAUUUAUUAUAUUUGUUCAUUAAAACCAAUAAACUAAAUCGCUACUACCUCUCUUAUGUCCUGUAAUAUACUGUAUUUUAAAAAUUUUAAGACAAAUUUUUAAAAAAAUUAAGAGAAAACUUAAAAGUGUAACACCCCAAAAUUUGGUCCUUUCAAAAUAGAGCUAAAAUAAUUUAAUUUGGUAUUUUUGAGCUCAUGAAAAUAUAGGAAAAAUAAUAUUUUUUAGUAAAUUAAAAUUUAUCAUAAGGCAUAGUAAUAUUAUUAUGCAUACAUGUUGGUGCAUAAGAUUUGAUGUAAUGUUUGCUUAUUGCUUCUUUGUGUGUUGACAGUGAGUGGAGUGUUUAAAAUACGUUAGUAGGUCGAUCUCCCUUCUUCGGCACGGAUUUAUCUUUUUUUCUACAAUCAAAUUCCUUGUUUUCUAGCCUAUGCUUUUGUUUCGAGUUUCCCAAAAUCUUUUCUUUGUAACCCAAAUCAUUCCUUUCAGUUCCUCAACCAUCAAUCAAUCUCUAAAAACUGACCAAGAAUUAUUCUAACACUUUUUAAGGAACUUGUUCCCACUUGACUAUGAGCAUAAUCUAAUUUUUAGAUGCUCCGAAUUAUCUUAUCAUGAGCUCCAAAUACUUUAUUUGGGUUCCUCAUGUUUCAUAAUAUCUCCAAGAAUUUUUCCUGAAUUUUCAGAGCUUUUGAAAUAUUUUUCAUGAAUUAAAUAAUAAUUCUGGACUUUUCUAGAAAUAUCUUAUUCACAAAAAUAAUUAAUUUCGGAAAUAAUAAAUCUUUCAUUCUACCCCAACGCUGAGCCCAUGAUCUCAAAGGCCAAGGUAUUUAUUUACUAGUGGGCUUUAAUAAUUAAUUAGGCCUAUUAGUAAAGGUGGAAGGGGCAACAUCAAUUAGUACCAUAUUGCUAAUUGAUGUAGUUGUGGAGAGUUUUCCUCCAUAUAUAUAUAUAUAUAUAUAUAUAUGUACCAACCCCUUAGGUUAAGUACAUCAAAACUACGAGGAGCCCCUAGUUUGGGAAUUCCUAAGGUAGAUCAACAAGAAAGCCGACACCAUGCCCGAUCGCCCUCAGUCCUUGGUCCAAGGUCAAGCCGCCCUCGGCUGCUGUGUCACACCCGGUUUUAAGGAACAAAACCAGACUAGCUGUAUGUGUGUCCAGGAAGUCCACACAUACAACAACAGAAAGGAAUAGUAUCAAAAACAAUGUUGUAUAGCGGAAACAUACAUAUAAUAGACAUUUACAUCAGAGUAUCGCGGAAUGAUAACUAAUCUUUAGGCUCAAUCUUUACAGGGACGGCUGACUGGGGGUAACAUAUGCCUAACACUUCUUGUAUCCUAAUAACAUCCUUCGUGACUCCAUCACCCUUCUGAUCAACUCUUUCUAGUAGACUGGAGUGGUGAGAAAUAGCAAGAGUGAGCACAUAUCGUACUCAACAAGUAUAACCAGAGGUUCAUGAGGCUCAAAUAGCUGACACUGGUUUGACUGCAUUUAGCUUUUAAUAGUGGAUAGCAUGUUCUUAAUUAAAUAGCAAUUGUCAAGGUAGCAUAAGUAAUCCAUUAAUCCCAUGAUCAAGUGUAAGCAUAAUUAAUUCAUAGCAUAAACGAUAGUCAAAUAAACAUAACAACUUAAUAAGCUCAUCGUCGGCGCAGCAAGAACCCCCAAGGCCGCUCAUAACCGUGAGCAUGGCUAGUAUACCAGUUUUACACUCUGCAGAGGUUGUACAUCUUUACCCAUGAGUCAUGAUUUACCCUUUCGCCCGAGGUAGCUAAUCUCUUAACCCCCUUCCUAGGGAGGUCGGCAGGGAUCACUAUGAAGCCUUUCAAAAGUUCGUCUAACAUGUUAGGGCCGCAAGGUUUCCUUUGCGAGCAGAUAUAGAUACCCCCCUUCCGAAUGGCACAAUGACGCGCAGCCUAUACACAUAGGGACAGGGGCUCGCACUAUACCCGUGUCGGUUCAGCCCCUCCGCCCUUUCGGGUAACCUCUAACAAGCUAAAAAAGGUCUUCAUACUGAGCUAAAGCCAGAGCCAUUAUAGCCCUCAUGGUUGCACUGUUGUCCCGGUGAUCACUUACAGACAAGAUCUCAUAUAGUUAUUUGUCAUCAUUUAACGUUCAUUGCAUAGCUAUUAAUCAUCUUACAAGAUCAUAGAUUAUAUCAAGCACUAGCACAUCUACACCAAAUGCAUAUCAAGUAGGUAGCAAGGAAUACAGGUAACAAUCAUCUAUGAUUUUGCUAAGGUCGACAAGAUGAUAGCAUGCAUAUGAUAUAUAUGUGUAGUUAUAAGUGAAUAGGUAACAAGGAUGAUCCCAAGUUAUACUUGCCUUAAACACUUGCUUAAUUCUCACACCAUUAGCUUUUGGUCAUCAUCUUCUGAUCUUCAGCGCCCACAAACGGUUCUCGUCUACUCGUAGCAAGCACCACACAUAGGCAAACAUACAAGCAACAAACAGAAAUAACUAAGAACAGUACACCACACAAGAUCACGCAAUGUACUAAAGGAGAACAAAUUACUACAGGCACAAGAUGACAAAAAAACGCCGAUAACAGAACUACGCUUAAAACAAACGACUAUGAGAAAAUUCACAUCAUAACAGUAAAGACUAUAUGCUUGCUUUAUUAUAAUUACAAAACCAUAUGAAGUAUAUUAAUUCAGAUUAGUCACUAUGCAUUUCAAUUGAAAGACCAAGUUUUGAAUCUAGUAAUUUUAAUUAUAGAUAUUUUAAUGCCUUUUUAUAUACCAAUCAAUUAUACUUUAAUUUGCAAAAACAAAGUAAUAUUUGAGAGCAUAUAAUUAAUGGAAUUUUAUCUGAUGCAUUGUUAAACUAAGCAAGUUAUAAAUUAAAAAUAUAUUUCUAUAUUGUUUUAAUUUAGAAAGCAGUGUGAACAGAGAGUAGUCAAAAUUAAUAAAUAAAUUAAAAAUUUUAGAAAACAUGAAAUACGUUCAGAUGCGACAUAGAAAUAAUAGAUUAAGAUGGGACUAAAGCGAUUCAGAUAUGAUAGGAAUAACAUAAUUGAGCAUAUAUAACUACGGAGACUCAAUGGUUGCCUGAACAAGUAUACACAAAAUGUAUUUUUUUUCUUGAUUGAGGAAUAGAUAGAUAAUGCUAAUUUAUUAUGCAUGAAUGACAUACUCAUGACAUCAGCAUAAGGGUUAAUCAAUAAAAUAAUAUGGCAAGGGACUAAUCUGGCCGCUAACCUUCAGUUAAUCAGGAUGCACAUUUGCAUGCUGCACGAUAUAGCUUUCCUGGAGUAGCAAGGAUUGGGCAAUCGUACGUCAUGCAGUUGCAGCAGCUGAGAUGACUUUGUGCUUGGUAAAAGCGUGAAAUAACAGCAUGUCUAGCUUCAUGGUUGGAUUGCAUGCAGUUACUAGAUGACAACUGCCCGUACAGAGAAGCACAAAUUCAUGGAGGUGCUCACCGAACAUAGAACGAUGAUGGAGAUGGCAGCCAGCUUGGACAUCCCACAUACGUGGUGCUCCAUGGACUUGAGAGCGGAGAUCAUGCAGAGCAUCUAGGCAUGGCUGAUGGCUACGGGCAGUCUUCACUUAGAUCAAUUAGCUCCCAUGGUGAACAGAUGACAAUGAGCCAUGGAUCGAGAUCAACUCUGUACCUGCUUGGCAAAACUUCCCGGCGGCGCGGCAAGAUGGAGGUGCGGCGCAUGAUGAGAGUUAGGGCAUAGGAUGGAUGAGAAAUUAACCAAAUAGGACAUAAAGAUAUGUAUAUGUACUGUUUGUGUGGGUUUAUUAUGGCCGAGAUAUACGUGUUAACGUUUCUUCACGUACGAGUCCUGAGUUGACGUGGUGGUCGAGUCCAUCUUCAACACGUACGACAGUAGUGGUGGUUGUCCACGCGACUUCAUAUGGUAGUAUAUAUACUCCGUAUAUAUAUUUCUCAUGCUUGGGAUAAGAAUUAAGAAAAAAAAUGGGCAUGCAGCAAAGCAGGGACACGAUAGAGGGAGCGUACAAGAUAGGAGAAGGAAACAAAAAUAAAGAAACUUGCAUCUGAGUAGAAAGCUAAUUGAACCAGUUAUUUGCUUCCUGAAACAUCACGUCAAAACUUAGAUCCAAUGAAACAAGAAAACAAUAGAUAGGGCAAGUAUUAAUGGGAGAGAGAGGGUAGUACGGGCCUUCUUCUAUCCAAUAAUAAAAGAGUAAAAAAAAUGUUUGGCCAAAAGUGAUUUAGGGUCAAGAUUAAUUCGGAACAAUUUGAAAAUUAACAUUUUUCUACAACUAAAUUUGCACUAACUCAAACUAAACUUAGUAAAUUUUAUACAAAUAUCGAAAUAUUUAUUUUUGUUAAUAUUUUCUAUGCACAGCCCAAAAUCAAAAUUUUUAGGGUGUGACAUGCUCUCCACCAGCCGAAACUCUAAUUGGCCAAAGUCAAGUUCACGUACAACACAAGGAAGAAGGUGCAUGUUCUGCAGCUCAUCUAUUCAUUCAAUUAUUCCAAAAAUCCAUACCAUCUUAAUCGUGUAUCAUUUAGUUAUUCUAAGUCUAAUUUAAUCCAUUCAACCAUGUUAGAAUUUUGUAGAUUUAAUCUACGUACUAGUACCUGUAUCUUCACGUGUUGCGCUAUAUUUAUAAAUCUUAUUAAUUUAAAUGCUAGAUUGAUUAAUGUUUAUGUACAAUUACUUUUCUAAUUUAGAAGCGAACAUACUAAAUAUUUCUGAAUUUUAUAAUCUAAAAUAUACUAAACGUUGAUGUUUGUGUGCAACUGGUUUUCUAAUUUAAAAUCCCUAUAGAUUUUAUAUUUUGGUGUUUUAUAUAUAAAUAUUAAUAUGGUAAGUUACUAACAUAAUCUUAUUUCUAAAUAAUAAAUUGCUUAGCUCAAACAUGUUUCAUAUAUGAAAUUCUAAUUAGACUAAAUACUCUCACAUAUUUAUUUCUUUUGCAAUUUGCAAAGAUAAAGCUUAAUAAUUUAUUUAGUAAAUUAGGUGAUAACAUUUAUAAAAAAAUAUAUGAUUAGCAUCAACUCAGAUUUCAAGUUUAAAUAUGAUUUAUUUUGAGUUAAUGUUACUCACAUUGUUUUUCUUAAUUAAUAUAAAUCAAGCUUAUAGUUGUUUGAUUUACGGUAUAAAUUAUUUUGGCAAUUGUUCCUUUUACAUCGUAGCUUCGACCUCGAUGGUUCUUGCGUUUUUGUGACCGUGAUCAAAUUAGAGUGCUUUUCACGUCUUUGUGUCCGUAGCGAUAGAUUAGUUUUUAAACCUUUUUAUUGUUUGGUGUACUGUACUAAUUAUAGCUUUGUUUGCUUCAUGUAUGUUUGGCUCCUGUUUGCUUGUGUGUUGCUAUUCGAUGAUCGAGUUUAGACGGUGAGCAAUUCGUAAUGAACAAGAGUGCUUUAGUGAUCAAGAUCAGAGCCUUGACAACUAGUAAGACCAACAGGAUCAACAAGAGCAUUUGGAUUAAGGCAAGUAUAGCAUUUGGAUUUUAUUUCUGUGACCAUGAUCGUAUGACUAGAUUAAUGUUAAGUAAUAAACAAUAAAAAUGACUGUUUAGCAACUUAAGGAUUUAUCUGUACGUGAUCACCCGGGACAACAGUGCAACCAUGAGGGCUAUAAUGGCUCUGGCUUUAGCUCAGUAUGAAGACCUUUUCUAGCUUGUUAGCGGUUACCCGAAAGGGCGCUAGAGGGGCUGAACCGACACGGGUAUAGUGCGAGCCCCUGUCCCUAUGUGUAUAGGCUGCGCGUCAUUGUGCCAUUCGGAAGGGGGUAUCUAUAUCUGCUCGCGGUGGAAACCUCGCGGCCCUAACAUGUUAGACUAACUUUUGAAAGGCUUCAUAGUGAUCCCUGCCGACCUUCCUUGGUAGUGCGUUAAGAGGCUGAUCACCUCGGGCGAAAGGGUAAAUCAUGACUCAUGGGUAAAGAUGUACAACCUCUGUAGAGUGUUAAAACUAGUAUACUAGCCGAGCUCACGGUCAGGAGCGACCUUGGGGACAUCUACAUUAAGGGUGAUGAAUCUUGUGUGUUAAAUAUGCUCAUUGUUUAUUGUUUAAUGCUCAACAUUAUUUAUGUCGCAUUGAUCAUGAGAUUGUGGGAGCUAUACAAUCUAGUUGCUAUACUUGUGGAGUUCGACAUGGACUCACUCUUGCUAUUUCCCCACACCCCUCAGGAGAAGUUUUGGGCUUGUGAUCAACCAGUCAGUUGGAUCCUGUAGAGAGAAGUUAAUACCCGAAGUUUGGAGUUGUCUAUCCGCUGUUUGCUAUCACAGGUUAUAUCUUUUAUACUAAGUACGUUAUAUAUUUAUGCAUUGUCUUUUGAUAUUACCCUUAUUUGUAACUAUAUGUGAGACUUGGCUUCUAAAACUCACAUAUAGUGCAUAUCUGAUUUUGUCCUUAAAAUCGGGUAUUACAAAAAGACACAUAUCUAUUUUAUUUUCUAAUCAGACGAUAUCAACAACUUGAUUAAUGAUGAUUGAUUAAUAAAUAAAAGUACUUAAUGUAAAAAUUUGUUUUUCCCCAUAGAAUAUAUUGUGUUUAUUUAAAGAUAAAUUUUGAACACUGAAAUGAACUAUACUAGGUGAAUUCCCCGCGCGUUGCUGCGGGAUUUUUUUAAAAAUAAAUUAUUAUAUACAUAACAUUACUAUAUGGUAUUUAGUCUAUUAUGUAUGUAUACAUAUGAAUUGGACUUGCAUGUAUUUUAUUGUAUUAGAUUAGUAAAAAAUUGCUAAGCUAAUAAAACAAAAACUAAUAUUUGAUUACAUUAUAGAGGAAUUAAUUGGUGAUAAAACAAAUAAUGUAUGUACAUGACUUGUAUGUGAAUAUAUUAAAGAUUUAAAGUAUUUCACAUAAUAUAGAUGGCAUGGUUAUUUUUUUAUAAUUAAUAUGGAAUGACAUGGACUUAGUGGGGAAUGAUGUGGACAUCUUGCAUGAAGAGAUAAAAUAUUUAGUGGGUCACUUAGUGGGAAAUGAUGUGGCCACCUUGCAUGAAGGGAGAAUUCAUCUAAUGGGGUUUAGCUUUAUAAGAGUUAUAGAUUACAUGAUGGAGGGAGUAUUUACUACCCAACCAAAGAUCCCUCUACCGUUGUGUUUGAUAUUCCCGCGCACUACAAGUUAUCAUUGGUAUCCAAAGAUGGAGGAGACGAUAAUCUAUUUUGUCCGUACACACGCGUCAGCCUUUUGACCAAGAUAUUAUUUCUGUAUUUUUAUUUGUAUAUACGAUUAUAAGACAGCGAUAGGCAACGGAAUGAGACAUCGAAGGAACGGAAUAUAGACGAAGAUGUACUAUUAUGUAUACUAUACCUUCACACUAAAUUAGCUGAUAAUAUAAAUUCUGUAGGAGUAUAUACGCUGAUAAGUACACAGCCAAACAGACGAAGUUGACACGUCCAUGGUUGAUGACACCUUCGCACUAACGAACGACCACAUACGAACAAAUUAAUGAAUUGACUUUGAAAGAAGUAAAAGAAGCCAAAACAAUUUAUUUUUGUCGAACCAAGAAAUUUGGUCUUUGUUCCAAAUUUCAUCAAAAACUUGUUCGUUCUAGCAAACUCAAGUUAUAUCGUGCUAUAUCCUGUAAUAUAGUGAAUUUUAAAAAUUUUAAAACAUUUUUUCUAAAAAAUAAGAGAAAAUUUAAAAGACACAUGUACGUUUAUUUUAUUUCCUAAUUAGACGGUAUCAUCAACAUGAUUAAUGGUGAUUGAUAGAUAAAUGGGAAGUAUUUAAUGUAACAUUUUGUUUCUUCCAUAGAAUAUAUUGUAUUUAAAGAUAAAUUUUGAAUGCGGAAAUAAAUUAUAUAUACUAGGAGGAUUUUCUGCGCGUUGCCGCGGGUAUGAAGCAGUAAUCUAUAUGUGUGGUGUUAGUAAUGCAGGAACAUGAUAUAAUAUAUGUGUAGAUUUAUUAGUAUAAUCGUGGACAUUAUAUCUAUAGUGGCCGGUGUUUCUAGCUGAUGUUGAUAUCAUAAUUCUUGUAUCAGUGAACUUUAAUUGCAAAUAAUAGUGGAUUGCUGAGGUGGACACCUUGCAUGUCAAGAGAAAUUGCUAGUGACAAAUUAUAAUGGAUUGUUGAGGUGGACGUCUUGCAUGUUAAAAGAAAUAGCUAGUGGGAUUUUACUUUAUAAGAGUUAUAGAAGUGGAUUGAUGAGGUGGACAUCUUACAUGUCAAAAGAAAUUGCUAGUGACAAAUUAUAGUGGAUUGCUGAGGUGGAUGUCUUACAUGUUACGAGAAAUAGUUAGUGGGUUUUUGCUUUAUAAGAAUUACAGAUUACAAAAUGGAGGGAGUAUUUAGUACCCAACCAAAGAUCCCUCCACCGUUGUGUUUGAUAUUCCCGCGCACUACAAGUUAUCAUUGGUAUCCAAAGAUGGAGGAGACGAUAAUCUAUUUUGUCCGUACAUACAUCAGCCUUUGGCCAAGAUAUUAUUUCUGUAUUUUUGUUUGUAUAUAUACGCUUAUAAUGUGGCUCGCGAUUUUGUCGAGUCUACGUUUCUUAAUGACAGGCCAUGAGGCCCAAAGUGAACUCAAAAAGACAGCGAUAGGCAACGGAAUGAGACAUCGAAGGAACGGAAUAUAGAUGAAGAUGUACUAUUAUGUAUACUAGUACACCUUCACACUUAAUUAGCUGAUAACAAAAUUCUGUAGGAGUAUAUACGCUGAUAAGUACAGCCAAACAGACGAAGUUGACACGUCCAUGGUUGAUGACACCUUCGCACUAACGAACGACCACAUACGAACAAAUAAAUUAAUGAAUUGAUUUUGAAAGAAGUAAAAGAAGCCAAAACAAUUUAUUUUUGUCGAACCAAGAAAUUUGGUCUUUAAACUUGUUCGUUCUAGCGAACUCACGUUUCUAUAGCAAUGAUAAAACUUUUGAACUUACACAAUGCAGGGAAAACCUAAAGGCAAAGUGAAAGCAAAAACAGUCCUUAACAUAGUGAAAGGUUGACAUUGGAAGAUUUGAUGCGGGUCCGAAGUUCCAAAGAUUGUAAGUCGAAGUCGGAAAAAAUAACUCGACCUAUGGGGGUAAGACAGCCCCGGGUAUUGUGUUUAAGAAAAAAAAAAUUAAGUCGAGAAAAUCCCUAAACCUCUACCUUACCCAUACACAAUGGUAUCACAGCUCCUAUGACGCUGGCUGAUCUUAGACCUGUACUUUAACAUAGAGCAGACGAGAAGAUUUUGUCAACAUGCAGAUAAACUAACGCCUCCUCCCAUCAACAAAUCCGCCUUCCAAAGAGUUCGAACUGUGGCCGGUAGGAUGCAAAGCGCACCGUCCAAGCAACUGGUCUAGCGUAUAUCAGAAGUAGGUCGUAAAUUCCAAACAAGACUGCUUCAAAUCAACUCUAAAAAAUUUGAAAUUUUGUACAAACCUUGAAUAAACCAUUUAUAAAAGAUAACCCCCAAGAGAUCAAUACUACCACGUAAAGCAUUUUGCAUGCGGCCACAUUUGUUUUCCACAUACGCCCAGCAAAGUCUGCCUCCAAGUCUAAGCAUCAAUGAUUCUGAUUUUUUUUUUUUUUUGAAGAUGCUUGUCUGUGAAAAUAGGUUUAGAAAAUAAAAAAAGGGCCUAGGCCCGGCGUCGAACUCGCUUCCGGAAGCGUCGCCACCGCUGCCCAUCCACUCUAAACACGCGGCUGUCGUCACCGAGGCCGCUCGCAGCCAGGUAGCCACCCCACUGUCGCCGGAUCUUGCUGUGGAUCCCUCCACCGCCGGAUCAAGCCAUGGAUCUCUCCAUUGUGCCGCCGUGAGGCCGUGUCACUGCGCACUCCUGCGUUGCGCCACGCCGUUGCGAGGCUCCUGGGUGCCAAUCUAGAUAACCCGGGUUGUCAUCCACUCGAUCGACCUGUCUUAAUAUAAACCAAAUACUGAGGACCCACAGGAAAGUAUCAUCUGCACCUCGUCUUAAAGACCUUUUACAGUUGAGUUACACCAACGAGCCAAUCAUCAAGCGACUUACAACACAAUCUUAUAGUGAACAAAAAAAUUUCAAACUAAAACAUCAUUGACCAUAAAAGAAAUUAACCUGCAAGAAGACAUCGGACGAGUUGGAGAUGAGCUCACUUGAUUGGAUUGGGAGAGCGUGUGAGAGUGAUUAGAGAUAGAGAGCUUUGAUGAGUGAUCCAACUGUGGAUUAGUAUCAUACUAGUUUUUAUCUAGACAUGUGAGGGUGUUAGGUCCUAGGGUUAAGGUUAAACAUUUUAAACUUCAAAAUAUUCAUCAGAUGCUCCAUCAAUUAUGAUGGACUCUCCUUCAAAAAUAUUCCCAAAGCUAGCAAGUUUGGGUUCGGCUAUAAGAGAAUUGAUGGAUGAUCCGAUAAACUUGUCGGACGAUCCAAAAAAAUGGACGAUAUGUGGUUCUAGGAACAUGCCACAGAACGAUCGGUGGGUGAGCUGUGUUUCACAGACACUCCGCGGAAUCGACAUUUGCUCCAUGGUGAACUAGGUGCUACCGAGUUCUCUGGAAACCAAUUUUAGUUAUUGACGCGCAGUCCAUGGAUCCUCAUGAAUGUUCCAUGAACAGUGAAGACUAAGUGUUUGGCUGUGAUUUCUGGCCAAGCGUUGUGGUUGACGUAUGAUCUGUAAGAUGUGAUGGAUGCUUCAUUAGUGCAUUCACACAAGUUAUGUGUUUUAUCAUUCAUGGUGUUUAUGUGUGAUUUAAGUCUAGAUCAUUGGUGAUGUUCAUCAUGUAUGUGCAAGGGGUUAGGGUUGUUUAGGUGACAUGUUGGGCUACUGAUUGCUAGGGUUGAGCUCUAGUUACCAUGUGCAUCAUAGUGAUCUGUGGAUCAAAUUAAUCAUGAGAAAAGAGAAAUUAAAUCAUGAGAAUGGGCAUGGCAAUAUAUCUUUAAGAAUUUGAUGACCUCUAGGCCACCAAGAUCAGAUAUGGGGUCUUGCUCAACCUUGCUUCCAAGAAAAAGAGAUGGAUUGGGGAAUUCAUGAGAUUUCUUGCAAAAAUCCACAAAAUUGCAUUGGGGAGAAACUUGAGAGAUCCCUGAGAGGAUUGAGCUAGAGAUGAUCUUAGCUUACACUUGAGAUGAUGGAGCAACUUCCAAACUUCACAUAUUGCAUCCAUGCAUGAAAAAAAUCAUGCAUGGAUGUAAUGUGAAGUUUGGAAGUUGCUCCAUCAUCUCAAGUGUAAGCUAAGAUCAUCUCGAGAGAGGAUUUCAAGAAAAAUGAGAGAAAGGCUUUUGAUUUCACCAUAGAUUGAGGUUGAGAUGGAGAAGCUGAUGAGAUUUGUGAUCAAUGCUGACCUUUGCUUCUUAUCCUUCCUUUAUUUCCCUUCUCUUCAUCUUUCUCACUUUCUCUCUCUAGUUCUUGCCUUGUUCUUCAUGUGUUGAGAGAGGGGGAUAGGGAAUGGGUAAGAGAGUAAGCGGGAUGGGGCAUGUUUGCUGAAGGCCUUUCCCAACUCGUGCUGACAAGUGGGUCCACUUGUGAGAGAAUGGAGGACAGCUCAUUCCCAACUUGAUUCUACUAAAGUCAAGUUUUGAUGAAUGAUCUGUCUAUUCAGAUAGGCACUCUGUCAAUAUGCUAAUUAUGAGAAAUUGAUUUAGAGAAAUGGUUCUUAGAAUUUAGAAUUAGGGCCAUUCUUCUUGUCCUAGGUGUUGAUAACCACUUAGGGAGAGACUAGAUAAGUCAACUAUACCCUUCCUCCACUAUCUUCUUGAAGUUGACCGUUAGUUGGUCAUCGAUGACUCUAGGUUGACUCUGGCUUAAGAGGAUCGAUAAGGUUGGUUAGCAAAUUUGGAGUCCUUAUCCUAGUUAAGAGCACUAGGAAUCCUUCAAGAGAAUAGCAAGUUGAUUCUUGGAAGUUUGAGGGCUUAUGCAAGGUGAUCAAAGAGGUUCUUAAGAAGGGUUUUAGUUGGAAUGACUUCUGGUCAUGACAAUUGCUGCCUUCAAUUCGCUCAAGAUCCAUGGUGGAAAAGAUUUCCAAACCCUAAGUCAUUUUGGGCCUGGUGGAGGCACGUCGUGAGAGAUGAGAGCGGGGAGGAGUUCCAAACCCUAACUCUAUCUUAUAUAUGUCACAAUCAUAUUGAGCUCGAUGGCUCCGAGCAUGUUUCUAGAGGUGGGCCGCCCACCUUUGUAAACGAAUUACAGAGAUAGAUGUUUUUGGACUGCCUCCUUAAGUAGAGCUACCACCACCGAAAAUUAGGAUCUUUUUGGGAGGCACUAAGAAUUUCUAACCACCUCCAUUAAUAAAAUCCCUUAUCUCCUAAAAUAUUUUAUGUAGUAGUGCAAGUCUAAAAGAUAAAAGCUUGAACAGAAAAUUCAAAAUCCUUAGUCUCAAAUUGGAGUUUUGUCAAUUUUCCUCCAAAUGGGGAUUUCUAUGUGCUCGUGGGAAAUCUGCCUAAGGCAGCUAUGUUUAUUCGUGAGCCCCUAUAGCACCUAAAGAUCAUUCAACGAUGUCCCAAAUACCUGAGCACAAAUAACUUCGAGAAAAUAACCUCAAGAAAUGGUAUUUUUAGAAGCAAAUUAGCUCGCCAACUGCCUCUAAGAGCAACUCCAACACUACCCUAAACUUCACUUGGCAAAUCUUGGAUUUUGCCAAGUGUAAAGCUCAAAUGCCAAGUGAAAAAAAGAGGCUUCUCCAACAGUUAGCUAUUUUUUUGGCAAAUUUGGACUAUCUUGUGAUUCCUGAAAAAAUCAGAGGGACUUUUAUGCAAAAGUUGCAAUCUAUUUAAGGCAUGCGUGCAUGCUGAAUGUGUGGGUCCCACCGCGUAGGCAGGAUGCCAAGCGCUCCCAACGCUCCUAAAUUUGAGCCAGUUGGCCCUCUUUUUGCCAAGCAUCCUAUUUUGUCAAGUGCAUAUAGGGUAGUGUUGGAGGAGCUUUUUCCAUGUUUUGCCAAAAAUUAGGAUUUGCCAAGUGCAUAUAGGGUAGAGUUGGAGUUGCUCUAAUAAAAUAGCAUACAUUUCUAGAGGCGGCUGGAGUUGUCUCUAAAAAAUUGAUUUUUAGAGACGAGUUGACUCAAAAACAAUUUUUAAAGACAGAUUUUUAUAAAGUAGCCUCUACCCAAAAAUUGAGACGUCUCUAAAAAUGGACUAUGACUGUAGACCUGUAGCUGGAGCAGGCUUGGUAUUUGUAGUUUAGAAGUUGCAGCGGCAGCGAGAGUUGGUGUGGCUUGUACCAUACUCCUAUUAAGUAAAGGAAAAUUGAUAGUAGUAUACAGCCUAAUGAGACAUAGACCAAUCUAUUUCAUUUUUGUACUCAUUAGAUAAUCGUUUAAUCAUUUCGCAAAAAGAAAAAAAUGGAUAGACACACUUAAUAAUACACAGAGUGAUGAAACAAUAUAACAUAAGCACAGGAUAAAAUAUGAGUACAUUUAUUGUCCUUAGCACAGACUGAUACACUAUAAUUAUAAUCACUCUCUCCGGUACAAAUUAAGCAGCAACAGGGACACAGUUCACAUCACAAAUCAUCUGAUUAAUUUGGUAUAAGAUUAUUGUAAGGUUUGGCCAUGAUCCAAAGCAUGGACUUCUUUCUUAACGUUAUCCCAAAGAUCUCUGCCAUAUCAAAUUCUUCCAACUUGACGCCAUCAGGUAGAGUCCAAUCAAAAUGGUAAAGAAGGCUAACAAGAGCCAGCUCUAGAUUGGCCAAACCAAGCGUUAUGCCAGGGCAUAUUCUCCUACCUGACCCAAAGGGAGUGAACUCGAAGUCAUUACCUCUAAAAUCGACACUACUAUUUUCAAAUCUUUCUGGCCUAAAUUCCUCUGCAUCAUGCCACAAUUUUUUGUCCCUUGCUAUUGCCCAAGCAUUCACGAACACCUUGGUUCCCUUUGGAACAUCGUAACCCAUAACCUGACAUGAUUCACGACCUUCUCGAGGGAGCAACAGUGGUACUGGAGCAUGCAACCGUAAAGUCUCCUUGAUCACCAGCUGUAGGUAUCUCAAUUUGAUCAAAUCACCUUCAGUUAUCUUGUCUUGUCCUUUGAAGGCCUCCCUCACCUCUGAUUGGGCCUUAUGCAUGACUUGUGGAUUCCUAACAAGCUCUGACAUUGCCCAUACUAGAACAGUUGAUGAUGUUUCACUCCCAGCAGAGAAAAUAUCCUACAAUACAAUGUUAUAGUUACAAUUUGUAAAAGGGGACAUUCACAUUUUAAUUCUCAUGAGAAUGUAAUCAGUAAACAUAAGAAUGUAAAAAAAGAAUGUAGGUCAUAAAUUAUAUUCUUGUUCACAUUUUUAUUGAGUGCCAAUCGUGCAGAAUUAAUUAAAUUCUUUUUUAUCAUUUUAGUAAAUAAGAAUUCAAUUUAUAACCUAAAUUCUUAUUUUAUAAAAUACAAAAGAGUUCUAACUAAAAUGAAAUAAGUACAUAUAAGAUUUUCAACUUAACUUGAGGAUUAAGAAACUACAUCAACUAACAAAAUCAAAAUUUAAAAUCAAGAUCAAAUAUGUCAGGUGACAUGGCUAGCAAUAAGAGAUACCAUAACUUAAGCUAUGGUUUUAACUAAAUGUGUAUUGAAGACAAAUGGACGUGCCACGCACAGAGAAAGAGAAAUUAUAAAUAUGGAUAAAAAAUAUAAGGAAUAAUUGAUAAGUUGAUCUCACCGGUAAAGAAAGAAAUAUCUAUAUUGUGUCAAAAAAAAGAAUAAAAAUAAUAGCACAAGGAUAAUUAAUUUGUUUAGUUGUAGGUACUAAACAUGGACUACGAUACCAAAACUUAUUUAGUGUAAUAAAAUUCCAUUUGCCUAAUGCUAAACUAGAAAUAAAUUAGAGACCAUUAAUAAUGGAGAGGUUUUGUAGGAGUGUGGUGUUAGAUAACUAGAAGAUAUCUCGCGCAUUGCUACGAGAAUCGCAAAGAACUUGCUUGGAAUGAAAUUAAAAGAAGAUAAUGUGAAUAGCUUGCAACUAAGGGUCCAUUUGGUAGGAUUUCUCCACCGGCUUCAGUUUGUUUGAAGCCAUUUUCUGCCACACGGUAUAAAAUAAAACGGCUUUGCUAGUGAAACUCCUUAAAACCAGCUUUAUAAGAGCGGAUCUCACCCAAAUAACCGUGCUGACAAUCUCGUUGGUGAGAGCGAACUGCAGGCCACCAUCCCUCUGCAGCCUCAGGAGAACACCCAGAAGGUCCUCCUCGUCUCGCUCUGGCGCCGUCGCCAUGGCUUCAGCUUCACGCUCAUGAAUGAUGCUCCGGAUGAUCCGGUACAUGUUCCUCUGGCACCUCCUCGCGUCCCUCGCGGCGGCGCUGAACCGGCGUACCAGCUGCGAGGACGGGUACAGGUCCGCCAGGUUGAACCCACCAAACAGCCGCACCACUUCGUCUAGCUCAUGCAUGUACUCAUCCCGGUACUUGCACCGGUCGCCGACGACCGUGCGCGCGGCGACGUCGUUUACCAUGCGGCAGAUCCCGUCGCUGAGGUUGACGGGCCGCUGGCCGUCGGCAGACUCCCUGGAGACGGAGCGGAGGAGGUUCGCCACCUCCUCUUCCCGGAUGUUCCGGAACGUGAGCACGCGGCGCUGGCUGAAGAGCUCCACCAUACACAGCUUCCGGAGCUCCCGCCAGUGGGCGUUGUAGGCGGAGAAGAUGAUGUCCUUGCCGCCGCAGCUAAUGAUCUCCAUGGUGACGCUCAGGUUGCGGUCGCAGAAGGUGAGGUCGUGCGUCCUCAUCACCUCCCUGGCGGCCUCGGCGGAGGAGACCACCAGCGUGGGCACGGCGCCGAAGCGGAGCAUCAUGAGGGGCCCGUAGGUUCCGGACAUCUCGCGCAGCGCCCGGUGAGGCAGGUCGCUGAAGCGCGACAGGAGGAGGUGGUGCAGGCUGCCGAUGAGCGGCAGCUGCCAUGGCCCUGGUGGCAGGCGAAGCGCUGGUGAUGGCUUCGUGCGUGAGGACGUGACGUAGCUCCGGAUGAGCCUGAGGAGGAGGAGGGCGAGGAGGACGACGAAGGCUAGAAACUGGAUUCUCAUCAUGUCCAUAUUUUUGCCGGGGAUGGGACAAGUUUGCAGCCAACUGCGUCUCGACAACAUCGAUGACACGUAUUUAUACUAGGGGCUUGCUACCUGAAUUCUAGUUAUAUAUAUUUAUAAUACUAAUAAAAGUGUCCUUGCAACAAGUAAAAAGGUAUAAUGUUAUCCAUAGUUUUUUAUCUUGAAAAUAAUAAUUUUUCAUUUACAUCAUUAUAUUUUUAUUGCACUCAACAUGAUGCUAAAAAAGCAUAUCAUCACACUAUAAAAAAACAAGUUUUUAGGGUUUCUUCCUCUAUAAUAACCGUUCGAUUUGUACGCCGUGCUAUAUGAGUCCUACGUCAUGUAUGAUCUUACUUUUUUGUAUAACAACCGUUCGAUCUAGAUGUCAUGCUAUAUGAGCCCUCCAUCAUCUAUGAUCUUACAUGUAAGAUUUAAGACCCAUAUUCAAUCUCACAGUAAUGCUACCCAUCAUAAGUCAUAUCCUUCUCUCUUGUGUACUGUCGACUCCCUGAUUUUGACUCGACAUAUUUUUCUUCUAUUUAGUAAUCAAUUGCUUCUUCAUCGUGUAACUUUUGCUAAAGUCGAGACCAAUAGCACACAAUUAAUCAAUAGGAGUACAAACCAAUAACGGUAAAAUUAUUAAGAUAGAAUCAUACUCAUGUAUUCUAACGGAAAAAAUAAUAACUUGAUAGUCACUUGCCCUCCAUAUACAAUGGUCAUUUGCACCGACACGGAAGCUAGCAUUGCUUGAUUUGGCUAGUGUUGAUAUACGAGGCGGACACACAUGGCUACCUUUGCGUGCAUCUUCUUGGCUUCGACAUACUGGUCGUGUGUUUUUUUCUUUUGCUAUUUUCUAGCUAUUUAACAAUUAGUUGUUACUAUCAGCGUAAUUUGUGUAAUUUUUUAUUUGUUUUUCUGAAUUUUAUAUAUUAGUUAUUUAAAAGGAAUGAUUUUAAAUAAAGUUUAUAUUUUAUAAUAAAAGACGUUUCUUCUUUACAUACCGUUUUCAAAUUAUGGCCUGCUUUUUGAUUUUUGGCCUUUUUCUUCUUAUAGCUGUUGCAUGCCCAAUUGCCCAUGGUAAAUCCCAGCGUGUUGCCUGUUGGUUAUGCAAAGUUGUAGGUAGGCUACGCGUUGUCCUUUUCCCAAUUUGAUUUUUUUUACCGUUCGGAGCACGGUUCAGAGGUGUAGAUAGAUAGAGAUAAUUUCCAAACUGAAGAGGGUCGACUUUAAAAACCAUAAUUCGAGUAGAGAUUGGAGUUGAAGGAAAAAUAUUACGGAUCGAAGCCUAUACGGACUGGAUAGGCGAAAAAAAGAUGUCUGCUGGACUGAAAUUUUCAUAAUUAUAUAUUAGAAGAAAGAUUGUAGAUUUCGUUCAUUUUAAUUUUCUAGACAUAAUUUAUAAUUUUCGGUACCGAGAAUAAAAAUUUGUUAGACAAAAUUAUAAAUCUGACAAAUGUAUUUGAUCAAAGUUAAUAUUGUUUGACUCCUGAUAAAUGAGAAUAAGCAUUCUUUUAGGCACGGACAAAGAAAUUUAUCCACAAACAUGCGUGAAGAUGUGCUGUACAUACUAUGUACCCGUACUCCGUGAUGUACAAAACUAGGACCAGCAGAGGCUAAUUGUCUCUAUAGCAGCAGGCUACAAUAAUUUGUCUCCGUGGUCCAAAACGUGGGAAGCCUGUUAAGUGGUUGUUUGGUUCACAUAUUUGUUCACUUGUCUAAGUUGUAUUUUUUCUAACAGCCAACAGUGUUUUUCUUUCAUAAUAAAUCAGCGAAGAAUAUUUUCAACUAUAACUUUUCAGAUCAGCGAACAUGCUAGUCUCAUUUACUUUCAUUUAGUCAUUUUUUAUCUAAACACUAUAACUAAAUGAGGUUAAAUGGACUUUAGUCAUCUCUAGCAAUUCUGGAAUAACUAAAUAAGACUAAACUAUUUAGAAGGGACUAAAGUUUAGCAGCCCGAAAAACACCCGUGAUGUCCAUCCAUCCAUUAUAUAAGUUGUUGCUAGGCAGCUAGGGUCUUAGUAUUUUCGUUUUAUUUUAGUAAUUAGUAUCUAAUUAUGGAAUCUCUAGAUUUAAAAGAUCCAUCUCAUAAUUUAUAGAUAACUUGUACAAUUAGUUUUUUUAUCUAUAUCUAAUGUUGUAUGCAUGUGUCCAAGAUUUGAUGUGAUAGAUGAAAAGUUUUUAGGUGAAACUAAACAAGGCCCAGGUAUAACUAGGGACGGGAUAGAUAUGCAGCCAACUACGUGACGACAAAAUCUCGAGGAGCUGACACAGAUAUAUGGACUAGAUAGAUUUUAAUAAUAUAAUAGUACGUAUCAAUAAUGUAGGAAAUAAUGGUAUACUAUACUAGUUCAUAGGAUUCAACUGAAUAUUUUUGACAACAACGUCGUAUUGUGUUUGAUACUUCCACGCAACUACAGGUUAUUAGUGGCGUCGGUCCACGAAUGUGUACGUGCACGCCGCCUUUCGUUCAAGAUAUACUAUAUGUUAAUUCUGUAUUUGUUUGUAUAUAUAUAUACGCUUAAUUAUAAGACAGCGAUAGGCAACGGAAUAUAUAUAUACACACACGAAGAAAAAUCGCUGGAGUAAAGAUAGAAGCUUGUGUAGAUAUUCUCGCUAUGGAGUAGUAGUUCCAAUCAUAUAUAUAUUGUGCCGCUGUGAGAAGUAGCCAAUCACCAAACAGGAGUGCUCAGCUCACUGAUGGCACGUCGUCUAUCCGUAGAGGCGUAGACGGGUGCAUGAGUGCAAAUGGACAUGCAUGGUUUCGAGGACUUCCCAACACACCCACAGGGCCACAGCCCACAGGUGAUGUUUGUCUCCAUGUUUCCCUCCUAUUUCCGCUGCUAUUAAUUCUCGUUGCUACGUGUUUGUUUCAGCAGCAGCGGAGCCAUUCGCACAAGGGUCGAAUCCGGAUACCGGAAACGUCGUUACCGCCCACUCCAGGCCUUAUCGGUUUAGGGCAUGUACAAUCUAGAUAGGGUCCGUCUCUAAGACCAGUCGCAAUGUAUAGUUUCAUGGUAGUUACCAAGACUAUAAACUAGGUAACCGAGUCAUAUGAGUUUUAUGAGGAUGAAAACUCCUCUCUCAUCUGAUGAGACUGCUUCAUUUAAUGACCCUGUCAAGUCAGCAAUUUUGCUUAUGUGGCACCUUAUUUAAUGUGCAUGAUACUCUCAUGAAACAUGCAUUGAGAUUGACCUAAGUAUCUCGAAUCUAUGAUACAGACAGAUAUAAAGACAGAUUAUACAAUCCAUACUUGGGGGUUCUAAGGCAUUUAAUAAUUUGCAUGUAGCUAAGAUCAACUAUGGAUAUCAACUUGUAUACCACUGUGUGGCCGUUUGAUAGAAGACAAGUUCAAGUAUAAAUAAGAUGAACAUAAUUAUAAUAUUUUAAAACCACUAAUAUAAUAUAUAUUAUAUAUAAAGAUGAACAUAAUUACAUAAGCACACUCAAAGAGGUCAGUCCACCUAAUAAUCUUGUGCCAUGGAUCCUUGCAUUGCUUUAGAUUCCUUUUCCUACGGGGUGGAGCUGUCUUGUUGUAUGAUUGAACAACAUCAGACCAAUAUUGGUUGCCACCUAUAUUAGCUCCACAGGUCGAAACUGUUGAAUGUUCUAUCCAAGAGCUCAUGCAUCAAGCUGACAUCCUCAUUCUUUUUCCAAGGAAUUUGCUUCUCAGUCCUAGCAUUUUCAUCAUCAGUGUCAACUAGUUCAGGCUACUGCUUGUCCACUCUCUCUACUUCUACUGGUAAAAUUUCUUCAUGGUUGUGAACAGGUGCACCAACCUAAAAAUUGUGUGGCUGGUUUCCAAAGUAACUCAUAAACCCACCAGGUGGGCAUGGGUCGUCUUUAUCCCUGCAGGAAACAUAACAUCACUAAAAUGACUCUAUACAACAUUACUUUAAUUUGCACUAUCUGCUUCUCAUUCACACUAACAAAUAUCAAAUAGUUUAUAAGAAACAGAGCAUUAGUUUCAUUCUCAAACAUUUGCAACAAACAUCAUAGACCUUCAAAAGGAUCUAUGACACUACAUGCAGGGAAUAAAAUAUGUCAUUUGUCAACCAUGAUGAUCUGACCAGGAUGAACACACAUGCAGCCCAUAGCCACCCUCCUGCUAUUCUUCCCCAAAUAAGAUGAAACAAAUUGCAAUAUAUACAACUUAGCACAUUCAGCAGCUACCAAAGCUCUGUUCACAUUCAGAUACAGCUAGCAAGUUCACGCAGGUUCACAUUCAGAUAAUAACUAGCAAAGCUCUAUUCACUAACAGAUAAGAUAGAAUUUCACUAACAGAUAGGAGCAAGUCCAGAUCAAUUCACAGGUCAGGUGAUUAACAAGAUGGAUCCCAAGCUGCUGAGCGCACAAACGAAGGAGAAGCUGGAUCAACGUUGGUCGAAUUCCACCAAGCAGUAGAUGGUGAAGUGGGGAAUGGAAACCCACCGAAGACGAUGGAACCGUCGCAGCACUGGGGAAGGCACCUCCACUAGAUGUACCAAUGGAGAUAGGAGGUGUUGCCAUGCUGUUGCUGAGGGAACAGGAGAUGGGGGUACCCCGGUGCCACCACCGCUGAUCCACUUCCGCGACCUAGGGUUCAGCCCAGGGCAUCCGCGCCCAACGAUGAGCCUCCACCACGACUGAGGUUGUAGUUCGACGCCGUCGAGAUGGCUCCGCGACCGAAGGUGUGCACCGGGAACACCGCUAUCGCUGUCGCCGCAGUUGACGCAACAAUGGGGGUGUCCUUGCUCUUCUUGUUUGUGGAAGCUAGUUUGCACUUCCUCGCUGAGGUGCUAAACAUCGCAGCCACCAAAGGUUGGGGUGCCCGAUUGAGAAAGAAAGCUAGAGUGUUGUGGCUGCUUCACCGGUGAAAUAGGGAUGAGGCAGAGACGGAUUUGGCGGGACUGCUCCCUCCCAUGCGCGCCAAAACUUCAUUAGCAUGCACGCGAGUGCCCCAGAUCCGCGCGCCGUCGAGACAAGGGGACGACUCCUACAAUGCUGCUCGGCUGGUCUCCUUUGCAUCGGUGCAUGGGACGGCUCCGUCGCUUCACGAGACGACGGAAUAGUCGUCUUCAGGCCACAACGGCACAACAGAUUUUUUUUGUAAAAGUACCCACGAAAGGACGGGGUGAAGAGUUUUUAUAAAAGUACCCACGAAAGGACGGGGUGAAGAGCCCCGUUGUACAUACCCUUAUUACGCAACUCACGUGAGAAUGGAUAAAGGAUAUCUUAGGUUGGAUCCUAUGAACUAAUAAGUAUAAUUGAAAGUUUAGUCUUUAAAGAUCUAAACAAAUGAACUAGUUAGUGAGCUAACAACUAGCGAAAGCCUCAACUAAUUGUUACUUCACUAGCAUAUAGAGCCCAACUAGUUGGGCUAAUCACUAAUUCUAGUUCAUCCAAACAGCUCCUUAACCAACCAAACAAAUUGUCGUUUUUCAUUUCAGGCAACAGGUAGGGGCGGCACCCAUUUUCAUUUGCAGUACAGCCCCGAACUAAACAGAGAAAGAGAGACACACAUUUGGCGGCCAAAAAAUCUGGGUUUUGAUCUAUCAUUUUGCAUAAUAAAACUAAACAUCAUGCAAAAAUUUUUAGCAAAAAAAAUUAUUCUUCAUUUUGGAUUUUGGUCUCAGGAGGCCAAAAGCCCAAAAGAGUUACAAGAGACCAUAAUAAGAGCAAUAAAUUCUGUAUUCUAGACAAAACUAAAUAUAACCUUAAAAAUGUUAGUAUUUAGUAUUUUAUCAUUUCAAGGUAGUCGGCAUUUUGCAUUUUGCAUUUUAUGGGAAAUUAAACACCCCCUAGCACAACCAAAUCGUCAACUCCCAACACUGCAGGCUUGAUGGAGCAUCAUUACCACGCUUCGGUUGAAGCUAAGAGCUGCAAAGCAUUUGCCAGUGCCAUUACCACCACCAUUUCAUGUUGCAUGGCUUGACCGGUCGUAAGAGUCCCAUGCACGUCGCAACUCGCACAGGCAUUGCUCUUGCUCGCGGUGCCAUGAUUGCGCCUUUCACAAACUCAUAGUUGAUCAAUUGGAGCACUUGCGAUUAUUGAAUCAUUAUUGUACUACCAUUUAGUAUGAGAUUUGAAAUUUACUUAAUUUAAUUGGAUAAAUAACAGGCCAUAUCUAAUUAAUUAAGUCCAAGAGCUAACAAUUCCAGGCUGUAAUUAAUUGUGCGAGAUGAUGUGUUCCUAGUCCACGAUGACCUUGAGAAGGACAUUGAGGAAGACGAAGGCUGCAAACGAGAUCCUAGUUUCCAUAUCUGCCAGGGAUGGGAUUUCGGUGAGCUAGCUUAAAUAUAGAGUAUUAUGGCAUCUAGAAAUUAACAAUAAUACAGCAAUGCUUUACAGCACUCAAGUGUUUUACAGCAAUUCAACACUCAAUUCCUUUCUGUUCUCUUCCUCUCCCUCUCUUCUUCUCUAACUCUGGCAAGCUUAGAUGAGACUGUGGGAGGCAGGUCGGCCAAAUGGUGGAAACGGCAGGAGGACGACGGUUAGAGUUCCAGCGGUGUAGGAGGCGGUCGAACUAGGUCAGGGCGAGGGCAUCUAUGGCCAUACGACGGUGAGGGGAGGAGAAGAAGAAGGUUGUUGUGGGCGUAAUAGGGUCUCAUCGGAGCUCAAGACCCUACUGCACUGAGGCGGGGCAGUGGACGACGGUAGGGCAUCGGGAGGAGGAAGAGGACGAUGAAGAAAAAAUCAAGUGUUCUCGAGAGCCAAAACACUCAAGCGACAGAUGAUAGAUCCUAAUAUAGAAAUGCAACAAUGUAUCCAAAGUAUGGAGGCACUGCUGUGUUUGUUAUUCCCAUCCUAGAGGUAAUCUUUGGUGUCCACAGGGAGAUAUUUAUUUUGUUCGUGCCUCUCGAGCCUCACCAUAUCAAUUCUAAUUAUGUUUCCGUCUAAUGCUCCGUAUAUAUAAUACGCUAAUAAGAUAGUGAAAUAGACGAAACUGAUCGACACAUUAGGUUUUUUUUACAACAAAUAUUUUUCAUUUGAGCAGCAGGACGCUGCAAUCAGUCUAACAGACUGAAGGUUUACAUCUAUCAGAUGCAUCAGGAAUGGGCACUGAUAGGUAAGGCUCUGAUGAGAGCAUACAUGAUGGAAGAAAGAUUCAACAGGAACAAUAACUGAGAAAGCCUGUCUAUCUAAAGCAUAUGUUGUAUUAUUUAUGUUCCUAUUGAUUUUGAAGAUCAUGGCAUGACAUUGAUCACCUGUGUUCCUGAACAUCUGGGUGAAAAAGGUUUUAUCCUCCAGUCUACAGGAUGUUCUUGGUCAUCUUCAUGUAGGAAUUGUACUAGCUGCUGGUUAUUAGUGAGAAAGGUGGUGUCAGUGAAGUUGAGUCGUUCACUAACAACUGCUGCUAGAGCAAGUGCUACAACUUCCGCCAUGAGGACUGAGUGGACUUCCAAGGCUUGUGCUGUGAUGUAGAUGGUUUGUGUGGUUGUACCUAUGGAUUGACAAAAAAUCCCAAGUCCUAUAGCUAUAUACUGCCUGGUUGGUUGGUCAUACCUUAAGGAGGCAUCAAUGAAGCAUCUGACUCCUUGGAUGAGCUCCAAUAUAGAGAUGAAGUAUUUGUCUGUCUAAGGUGAAGCUCUUGCAUUAGAUGUGAUAAUACCUGGUGAAGUCGGGGUGGCUUGAUUUGUGAGCAUCAUUUUCUAGGGGGUUUGUGCUUGUUGUUCCUCCAUAGGGUGUGAGGUGCAGGUUCCUCCUGUUGGUGCUGCAUGUGAUCAGGUGCAGGCGUCUCCAUCUGUUGAGGUGUGUGGCUGUGAUCCUACGAAGUAAUAGCAAUGGCAGUUUGCGUACCUUGUGCAGUCAUUUGUGGGGGUUGAGGUGGGAUAAGUAGAGUGUCGGUUUGGUGGCUGCUAAUGUGGGCUACGACCACAUGGUGUACCUGCCAUGGAGUCCAAGUUUUUCUGUGAAAUCAAAUAUCAUUCCUAGCUUUCCACAAAUACCAGAAAGUGAUUAGUAAUUUGUUGAAUACAGUAGAUGGGAUGGCGGCGGGGAUGAAGCUUGGUAGGAUUAGUUGCACGCCAUUAGUAUCUUGAGGUAAAUUGUCAGUGCAAAGAAGGGGAUUUGAUGAGAAUACUGUUGUGGGAGGUGAUAGUGGAAGAAUAGGUGGGCAUCAUCCUCCACCACGCCAUAGGAACAUAGUGCUUGUCUAUGUGGGGGAGUAUCUCGCUGCUUGUUUUGUUGUAGCUAGGGCUCUUUUGAUGAGUCUCCAAGUGAAGGAUUUAACUAGAGAUGGUGGCUCCUUACUAUUCCAUUCUCUCUGCAUAAUGGAGUUAGCAUGGGGUCCACCUCAAGAUGUCAUGACCAUCACUAUGAAUAGUUGGUGUUACAGUUAUGACCUGUACAUCCUAAGCAUCAAAGAUGUUAGUGAUGAGGUGAACAUUCGUGUUAUGGGAAUUUGGUUGCUAAAGAUUAGAGAAAUGGUUGGCAUUGGAGAUUGAGUAGCUAGCAGGAUCAUGUGGUCAUGGAUAGAGUUCCGAAUGGGCACCAAGGGGUGGACCAUAUAGAACUGUUACUUGAAUGGAUCUAGUAGACAGAGUUGGAGCGAAGUUUAGUUUUGACCUACAAAAUAGAAGACCAGAAGAUUGAUCUAGGACCAGUGGUGUUGGCUUUCCAAAAGGAGGUGUUGUGGAACUAUUUAGCCUUAAGGACAGAGGUGAGCAUGGGGUUUUUAUUAGUAGCAAUGUUUGCCAAGACCCCCAUUCUUCUUGGGCUAGCAAAUGUCUUCCCAAGACAUGAACGCAAUGGGAGAUGUAGGGUUGUCUUUCUAGACUCUAGUGCACCAAAAUUUCCUGAUUAUAGUGUUGAUUUUACCUAUCAUAGUAUUAGAAAAUAGCACAGUACACAUGUAGUAUACAGGGACCAAAGCUAGGACAGAUUUGAUGUAAGUCAGUCUCCCUGCAUGAUUAAGCUUGUUAGCUUUCACAGUAGUUAACUUAGCUCUAAAUUUUUUAAGAAUAAACUCAUAAACCUUAUUCCGAUCAUUACGAUUAAAAUAAUCAGGUGGCCCAAGGUGCAUGCUAUUAGGAAGGAGGUCAGGGGUAGGAAAGAUGUUCCUGAUAUCAUUUCUAGUGGUCAAAGGCACCUUUUUACUAAAAAGGAUUGAGGACUUCUAAAGAUUGGGAGUUUGCCUAGAGAGGUGGCAAAAGUCUUGUAAAAUGUCCCAGAUUUUGGUGGCUUCAAUGAUGGAGGCCUCGCCACAUAAGAUUAGAUCAUCAACAAAGAGAAGAGAGUGAAUGGGAGGGCAACUAGGACCAAGGGAAAUGCCCAAAAAAUUGGAGUAAUGAGUUCAGUUUGAAGGUGAAUGGAUAGCUCAUUGGUGGCCACAACAAAAAGACAAUGAGAGAGGGGGCAGCCCGGGCGAAUACCAUGAUGGGGAGUGAAGGAGGUGGAAGGCUCUCCAUUGAUAAGGAUGGAGAAAGUAGUAGUGGAAAUACAAGCUUGAAUGAGGUUGGUGAAAUUGGAGGGCAGCCCAAGACGAUUUAGAGAGUCCCAAUUCAGACAAUCAAACGUUUGGCCAGGUCAAGCUUGAGAUAAAAAAGCUUGCUGGUUCCAGUUUUUUAGGUUGGAAGAGAUGUGCCUGUGUUUUGAUGAAUGCAACUUAAGAUUAUUGAGUCAAUCGACAGCAACUUUGGCGUUUAGUAGAACACAGCAUGGUGCCAAGAUGAUACUACGAUGUCAGCAAAAACUUGUGGGAUCCACCAUUUAGUAAACGAUUAAAGAAAUUUUGAUUUCUUUUUUGUCGUUUCUGCACACCUCCAUGCCUACCAUACGUGUACUGUGUUGUUUUCAGUGGCGGAGGCAGCUGGCAAGGUUCGGCCUCCGCCGUACCUAAAAUGUAUAGAAAACACUAGUAUAUUAUGUGUAUAUACGGUUAUACACGUGAAAUAUACAUGGCUUAGCCUCUGCCACUGUGCACGAAUAGAUUUUGUUUGUGGGCUGGUAUCUCGUGGGCUUACACGACUACGAGCCCGUUCGCUUCUUAGCUGUACUUUUUUUCAGUGAUUUUUUUUUGACCAGCGAAUAGGCUCUAUGUCAAAAGCCCACGACACUAUCCAUAGAAGGAAGCAGCUCAUUGGUCUUCCUGCCUUCCUGGCUGGUCGACUACUCCAGGUUUUAGUGGCCGACUUGUUUAGUUUCAAUUUUUUUUAGCAAAAUAGAUACUGUAGCACUUUUGUUUGUAUUUAACAAAUAUUAUUCAAUUAUAGACUAACUAGGCUCAAGAGAUCUGUCUCGCAAAUUAUAGACAAACUGUAUAAUUAGUUAUUUAUUUUAUUUAUAUUUAGUGUUUCAUGCAUGCAGUGGCGGAGGCAGGAUUUUUGCUUGGGAUAUGCCAAACAAAAAGUUUUCAUAUACAAAUCGGUAAAAUCUAUUUAGCAAUUCGGUAGAAUUUUAUAAAAAAAAUGUCUAACAAUUCGGUACACAACUGUUAAGGCCUUGUUUAGUUCCAAAAUGGACAUUGUAGUAUUUUCGUUUGUAUUUAAUAAAUAUUAUCCAAUCAUAGACUAACUAGGCUCAAAAGAUUUGUUUCGCAAAUUACAUGCAAAUUGUGCAAUUAUUUUUUAUUUAUAUUUAAUACUUCAUAUAUGUGCCGCAAGAUUCGAUGUGACAAAGAAACUUUCAAAAUUUUGCUAAUUUUUUGGGACGUAAACAAGGCCUAAAUGGCAUAAGUCGUGCGUCCAUGGUGUGUUUGAAAGGAGCGUCCGAGAGCAGGUGCGAGACGAAUACCGAGGUCUUGUUUAGUUCUUCUAUGGUCUCCAAUGGGAGGGUUAGCUGAUCCACAUUAGUUAACCACUACUCCACAUUGGGCAAAGUGAUUUUGUUAACGCACGUAGCCACGGUAAAUCAUAAUUAAAGAGCCAUCGUGAUCAACUUUCAUUAUGUGAGCUUGAACAAAAUGAUCAACAUCAAGAGUUGGCCUACAAAUAAUUGUAGAGCUUUGCUAAAUUUCCACACCCUUUCUCCCACUCCAAAAAGCCAAAGUGCUCAAUCCUUAAGCAAAUCAUUCCACCAGGAGAACAAAAGCAAUGUUGUGGUGAUCAACAUCAAGGUAUAUCUGUAGAGCUUUGCUUUUACCGGUUAACGUGCAAUAUGAGUGCACAAUUAUGUUUAGGAUAGAUUUAUUAAGCUAAUAUUGUUAUCUAGUGCCACUAGGUGGGGACUAACAAUACACAUGUGUUAGACUCAGUGACAUGGUGAGGAAGCAAGUGAAAACCUUUGAAAAUGCAAACUCAGUGCUAAAGGUGUUAUUGUUCCGUCUGCCACAUUUGGGAGAUAUCAUAUUUGAAAAAGGGUUUAAGAGAGGGGCUUGGUGAGAUGGUUUGAAUAGUCACUAGAUAAGUCCGGUGGUCAUCAGAGCUUAGGCACACCCACUUUACUAGUCUAGUCAUCAGGCUGUCUCACUCUGUAGUGGGCCACCAAAAAUAUCCAUGCCUCUAGGUCCGAGCACUAAAGUUUAGGCUCCUUCACUUUGGGAGAGAAGGGGACGCUGGACACGAGGCAACAAUCGGCAAUGGCUGCAAAGCACACAAAGUUUAGAAGGAUAAAGGAAGACGACUAGAGGAGGUUAAAUAGUCAUUUCUAUAACUAAAUCAUGAAUCCUAGGCAAAUAAAUAACAUUAAUAAACUAUUUGUCACUUCCCACUAUAACAGCAGAAAUAAAACAACAGAGAUAAUCUAUUUUCAUAACAAUACAAUAAAAGGUACAUGACUCAUUAUUUCCAUGAUGAUUCCAUCCCUACCUGCGAGCGUGGAAAGCCUAAAAAGCCUCUCUCCACGGCCUUCCUAAAAAAAGCCCACCUGGCCACCUGUAGUUCAAUAUAAGCUACUGGAGAAGCUAGGCGUUUGGUCCAUCUCGAACCGCUUUUAAAGCUAAACAGCCCAAUAACCCAUUUCAAACAAGGUCGAAGCCCAAUGAGGCAGGUGGCCCAAAACCUGACCCGAUUCUCUCCCAAUUCUUUUUCCUCGUGUUGGAAUCGGAAUUGGAAUUGGAAUUUGUACGUAGUGGCGGCGAUAUCUGGUUCAGAGUGGGUGUUGAUUCGUGGAGAGCAGCUGGUCGGGCCCAUCCGCGCAGUUGGCUUGGCUUGGCCGCUGCCGCCCGUGCUCGCACCGGCCGCCCCACCUCCAUCUUCCCAUGGUGGUGGUAUCAUCCCCCCCCUUUCCUCUUCCUCCUCCCCACGUGCAACCACCUAACCCCUCUCCCACCGCCCUCCUCGCCUAGCCCGCCGCCACAGCGGCCGUCGACGAGCGCCAUGCCCGCCGCGGCGUCCACCUCCGCGACCUCGCUGCUGCUGGGCGGCGGCAGGCUCCCGCGGCUCCAGCUCCAGUCCCUCCGCGCCCCCGCCAAGCCCCCCUUCCGCCGCCCGGCCUCGUCCCCGUCCACACCGCUCCCCAGAUGCCGCGCCAGCGCGAGCCCCCGCCCUCUGGGCCCCGUCUCCGCCUCCGCCCUCGCGCUGCCCGUGUCGGUGACGGCCGCUCCCCCACCGCAGGUGGAGGAUGGUGGCUGGGUGGGAGGCGCGGCCGCGGCCGCGGCCGUGAGGAGAGUAGCUGUGGCGGUGGCGUGCGGGGCGCUCGCGGCGGCGUGGUGCCGCCGGGCGAUGGCUGUGGGGGCGGCCACGGCGGCGGGAGCGGGAGCGGGGGCCGGGGCCGGGGCGACGGGGGCGGUGGAAGCUGCCGCGGGGAUUGGAGGGAUGGCGCUGCACGGGGGCUGGCCGAGAGUGCUGCAGAUUCUGCAGCUGCUCAGGGAGCAGGGCCUGGUUCUGGCCGCGCUGCUCGGCCUCUCUGCGUUCUUCUCCAUGGCAGAAACUUCUAUCACGACGCUUUGGCCUUGGAAGGUGCGUUCAGCAAGUCUACGGAGACCCAUUUUCUUAAACUCCUGUUGUUGCCAUAGUAAUUACUGUACGUACGCGAAAUGAACUAUGCUUCCAGUUUUGCAAUCGGUUUGGUUCACUGAGCUACGAGGUAGGAUAUUGGGAGAUUUUUGGAUACUUAGAUGAGCAGAUUGGUAUUGGUGUAGUGUUGCUGCUAAGAGGGGAUGCUGAGAUGGGGUGAGUGUCUUAUGGGUACGUCCUUGUAUCAACUACUAUACUCAUUCUAAAUGGGUUUAUGCAAUGAGUAUUUGUAUGAACAAAGCAAACGGAUACGCACUAGCUUAGGCUGUUGGGUUGGGCUGUGGCAUGUGUGGGUCGAGGAUGUGGCGGUUGUCAUGCACAUCCUGCUUCAGCAGUGAUGUGAUAAUUUUGUCUCGCUUGCUGAUGACAUAAUCCACAGCACAAGUUUGUAUUUGAGAAGUGAUGUCACUGCUGGGAGUGUUGCUGAAAGACAUGGGGAAAGCAUUAUUGCUCCUUCCUUUUUUUUGUAGGAUAGAGGGCUGAGCAGCAGGCAUAACUGAUUGACAAGCUGACAACAGCAAGGUGCUUCAGAUAUAAUGACAGUGUGCACAUGCGCUUUAGUGACAUGUUGUGCUAGUGAUCUGUAGGAGAAUUAGGCAGGGAAUCUAUGCAAGGAAAGUUUUUAUUAUUUUGAAACUGGAACUAAUGACACUGGUAUUGGAUUACCGGUCUUACUGACUUUAUAUAUAAUCUCCCUUCACACCUAAUCUCAUCAACUGGAUAGGUAUUUCUGGUUCAGAAUAUUUAUAGCUUUGAACAGAACAUUGGUGCUCUUGUAACUAUCAUUAAAGGGGUCCUGCCUCUUUGUUCAUGUUUAUCAACAUUUAAAUUCAAUUCUAAUUCUUCAAAGACUACAACAAGGUGAUCAAUGUAAAUUGAUGGCUGGAUUCGGUUAAUCACAUGUUGAACUUGCAUUUUAUUUUUAGUAGAGGUUUAUUUGCAAGCACAGGAAUAAUGAAGCCCUAGGUUUAGUGCAUUUUUUCCCUCCAGAGUUGAGCCUAAGGAUUCAAGUUCACUGACACUUAUCAUUGUGGGUUCAAGCAUUUGCACACAUAUUAGCAUAUUGAAAUGGCUAAAGUAUUAGAGGUUGGUGCUAGAGUCUUUCCAUAACAGCGCACUUGGGACUGAAGUUUGAUUCAUGCAAAAUUUUUCAAUUGAAUCAUGCUUGAUGUUCAAAAACUAGCAAGAAUCAUAGAAAUAGCAACACUGUAUUGUGUAAUAGGUUGCAUACCUUUUCCCCCUUUGCAUUUGUUUAUUUUUCUAACGUUGUUUGGAAAUUGCCACAUCAAGGCCUAAUUUUCUAGUGAUCUGCCUAGCGCCCAAUAGCUAGCUAGCCUCUCUACUCAAGCAUUGAGGCAUCACCCCCUUCUACCCACCUAGGGCAUUUUCAGAUCAGUGUUUUGAAACUUUGCUUCGUAGUGGUACUCUUUUCUUAUUGUAACUGACUGUAUGCUGAGAGCGAAUAUCUAUAUGCUGAGACUUUGCUGAUUUCUUUUUUCCUUUGCAUUAGGUUCGUGAACUAGCUGAGAAGGAACCUGAGAAUGGUGUUUUCAAAAUGCUCCGAAAUGACGUCACUCGUUUCCUGACAACUAUUCUCAUUGGCACAACGUAAUCCAUGGCAUUUCUAAGUUGUGCAUCACUCAUUGCAAUUUUGUUUUACUAACCCUAAACCCUAAUCUCGGGCAUAAUUUGUAUGAAAUAGUGUGGUCAACAUUGGCGCAACAGCAAUUGUUACUGAGGCAGCAACAGCAAUGUUUGGUGAAGCAGGUGUUAGUGCAGCAACAGGUGUCAUGACAGUAUGUCUCCUGUCUCAUACUGGCCUUCUGCUCUUGUGUAAGUGUUCUUUAAUCUAACUAUGGAGCACCAUUUUUUAGGUUGCCAUCUUACUUCUUACAGAGAUCACUCCCAAAAGUGUUGCAGUCCAUAAUGCCACCGAGGUCGCUAGGUUUGUGGUAAGGUGAGAGAUAUCAAGUAUAACUUAGUUUCAAACAUGUUUAUUUUGAGUACUGAACAUUGUGCAUUUGUUGCGAUAUAUCAGACCGGUCGCAUGGCUUUCGCUGAUCCUCUAUCCAGUUGGGCGGAUUGCUACUUUUCUGUCUAUGGGAAUGCUAAAGAUUCUAGGCCUGAAAGGGAGAAGGUAAGACUGUAAGAGUAUGUAUAAUACUCUAGUUCUUGAUCAACUAGAAGAUAAAUUCUUUGAAAAUAUGCCAACUCAAUAAGCUCAUGUUAGUCAUAGAUUAUAUCCCCCAUUAGUUAUGAUAUGCUUUCAAGAAGGAUACACAAACAAUAAAUUAAUUCAUGCCACAAGAACCACACAGAACUCUUUUUUAAGAGCAUAUGGCUUGCUCUGCGUAGUGGAUAUAACCAGGGAAGCACAAGGAUUGAGUUUCUAGGUGUGUGUGGGUUCUGCUCAGGUGGGCAACUCUAGCUUCAUCCAUCUGUAUCUUUUUCUUGAUGAAAUGGCAUGCAGCUCUUUUGCGUCAUUCGAGAAAAAAUAACCAGGGAAGCACACUGAUUGAGUUCCUGGUUCCUGCCAAAUAAAAUCUCACCUGUUUUCUUUUAAAAAUGGAUUAAACUUGUAUAUUACUAGAAUUCAAGUACAAAUGAGAUGGUACAACAUGGACUAGAUUAGACUAGUUUGAGUAUGUGUUGAGUCUAGUUUAUAGGGUGAUAGUUGUACUUUCUAAAAUUUCUAUAAUUAGUAAAUAGUGCAGUGACUAUAUUUUUAAUCAAUAGAUGACCGUUGACACUAUUCCAAGAAUUGCAUAUCAUCUGUUAUUGUUCAUGAAGGAUCUAAUUCUAGUUUGAAUUUGCUAGAAACUUAUUGAUUGCUUUCUGUAUAAUUUAGUUUACAAAUUGAAUUUAGUAUCUGAUAUUGUAAUACAAUACACAUUUGUAUGUUAUUUUUUGCAUUUUUUUUACAAAAUCCAGUACUCAAGUACAUUGAUUUGCUAUGUCUUUUAGUUACUACAUUUGUAUAUGUUUAACCAAUAUACAAUUGAGAUUCCUAUAUAGAUAAGAUUUAGUUUUUCUUUUUCAUAACUCUUGACAUUUCUGGAGAUCUACUUCUGAAUCUUGUGCAUCAUAUACACUUCUUUCCUCAGUGAACCAUAUGUUACUGAAGAUGAACUGAAGUUAAUGUUACGAGGAGCAGAGUUGAGUGGUGCAAUUGCAGAAGAUGAACAGGUUAGACAAUCUAGUAUAUGGAGAUGCCCAUAUAUUGUGCUGCAUAUUUCCUUCUUUAUUCUUUAUGUUUCUGUGUACCUCACAGCAAGAUUUUGUUAUCCAGUGCAAUCUAGGCAAAGCCUUUACUUACAAUUUUUAUAUCAUAUAGAAAGCUGACUACUUACAUAAAUAAAGAGUGAAUUAAUGAAAUUUCAGGAAAAUAGUAACUAACGUUUUUGCAUGAUUUUAACUGCUAAUUUAAUGUUUGUACACCAUCUCAUCACAUAUAUCCAGAAUUUGAAAAGCAGUAUGGCCCCAAAGGUUUGAGUUAGAUUAUACUGUUGCAGACUAGGAUUUUGCCUCUUGAUAGUUUACUAGCACACUUUGGCUACUUCUUUGUUUUCUUGAAAACGCAGGAGAGCUGCACUUCAUUAUAUUAAGAGGAUAAAGGGCAAGAGCCCGAACAACCCCACAAACACCAUACACACACCACACACAUCACACACUCACGCCCCAACAGAAAUGUUACAUUCGCGCCCGUAAGAAAACACACAACGCGACCACUACUAGGCUAAACAUUUCUAACUAUCGGGGAGGAGGGCAGUCAAGAAUGAUAGCUCUCGAGCUGCUGCCAUAGACCAUAAACGGCGCUCCUCGCCUGCUAUGAUCAGAGCGCCAGCAAGGUUUGGAGCUGCUCCAUCAAAGACACACCCAUUGCGAUGGUUCCAUAUAGUCCAAGCUCCGAGCAUAACAAGAGAAUUAAUUCCUUGCCUUGUCAGCCCAUCAGCAGUGCUGCUAGCCUUCUCCCACCAAGCAUGGAAGGAUAAUUCUGUAAGCUGAGGGGACAAAAGCCUGAUUGAACCAAAAUUCUCUUGUGAACACACAAUGGACAAGUAGAUGGUCGAUAGUCUCCUUUUCAUGGUCACAAAGGAGGCAAUUCUCCGGAUGAGGUAACCCUCGGCGUGCUAGACGAUCAGCUGUCCAGCACUUAUUGUGCGACCAGCCACAUAAAGAAACGGCAUUUGGGCAGCACCCAUGAUUUCCAAAUCUUUUCCCAUGGUCCAAAAAGAGUAGAUCCGAAAAAGAAGCCUUCAUAUGCCGAUUUAGCCAAGUAUUGUCCAUUAGAGGAGAGCCUCCAUAGGUGCUGCAGCUGAAAAUCCAGAAGUAGAUCCCACCAUAAGUGAAAGUAGUCAACAAACCCACCAACUGUGAGCGCUCCUUGUAUGUCCAAAAUCCAAGCCCGGUUAGUAAGGGCAUCCUGGACAGUAUGCUGCUUAACCCUCCUUUUAGGAGUAGCCACAAAAAGUCGAGGGGCAAGAUCUGCAAUGCAUUGCCCAUUGAUCCGAUCUGUCCAGAAAAGAGUGUUUGCACCAUCCAAUUUCAGAAGUUACUGCCACUGAGUAGAAGGCUCUUACUUGCUUCGGCACAUGGAAUGGUAGAGCAGCCCAAGGACAAUGAGGUUCUGUUUUCUGCAGCCAAACCCAUCUCGUGCGCAAGGACCAGCCAAGGGUUUUUAAAUCUGAAAUUCCCAGGCCUCCAAGCUCUGGUGGGCCACAGACUUUGACCCAAGCCACAAGACAAUGACCACCUUUUUGCAUAUUUUCGACCCCUCCAAAGAAAGCCACGCCAAAUUUUAUUUACCACUUUGAUAGCCAUGGAGGAAAGUCGAAAGCAAUAGCUAAGUAAAUGAGCAUUCUCAGUGAGAACUGAUUGUACUUGAACCCUUCUUCCAGCCCUUGUCAUUAGGUCUGCCUUCCAGCCAGGAAGUUGAUCUGCAGUACGAUCAAUAAUAGGCUGCACUUGUUUCUUUAGGGAGAGGGGCAGACCUAAGUAUUUGCAUGGGAAAUCCGAGAGGGGCACACCUAGCUAGUUUCUUUGGCUACUGUUAUCCUUUAGGUAUUUUGCAGAACCUUUCCAUAGCAAUCCCAUUAAUCUUUAGGAAGCGAUCCCAUUUGUUAAAGCCCCUGCAGGCAACUUUCAAGUUCAUUAUUCUCGAUCACAGGUAGUCAUUCUGCAUAUUUUUCCCUCAGAAUCAUCAUAAGAAUUGGGUUAAGUGGAUAGGUCAGACUAUAGCAUGGAAAUACAUAAGUACUGAUAGGUUGUUGAAACUAUCUAAGACUACAGAUUUAUCGUGUCAAUUUGUCACAAAUAACAGAUUUUAGCUGAUGAAAUCAGUACUUCUGCAGUACAUAGAAAUACUAAAUGUGUAGUUUUAGUUUUGCAAAAACAAGGACACUAAAUUUAUAAUUCUGUGAUAAAACUUCUUAAAUCUGUAGUUUUGUGAUAGCAUAGCCCACUCACACAUAUACAAAAAAAAAGAAAAAGAAAAAAAGGAACCAUAUAGUUAUUUAUGUGCUUAGAUUCUAGGCCCUAGAACUAGAACCUAUAGCUGUGUUACACUAUUAUGAAUUCCUAGUCCGUGCCUGCUUGUGCAGGACACUUUUCUACUUGAUCAGCUAAAGUCAGCACCUGAGUCUUUUAACAGGAUAUGAUCGAGAAUGUCCUGGAAAUUAAAGAUACACAGGUGAGGGAAGUAAUGACGCCUUUGGUGGACGUAGUUGCAAUUGAUGCUAUUGCAACACUUAUUGAUUUCAAAAACUUGUGGGAAACUCAUCAGUACUCUAGGUAUUGUCAACUAUUAUUGUCGCGUGUAUUUUCAAGUCUUAUCACUGACAUCUGCUGCUAUUUGUUAUUUCCAGAGUUCCUGUAUUUGAGGAGCGCAUAGAUAAUAUUGUUGGAAUUGCAUAUGCAAUGGACAUGCUUGAAUAUGUUGAAGAGGUAUGUCUCUUGUUUACCAUUUAAUGUAAAACUUAAUCACAGUGAGUCUUAUUUGCUCCACAUGAUGCUUCUCUAAAGGGAAAGUAAAAGGUGUAUUUUUCUUUUGAAGGUUGAGAAGCUGAAUGAAAUCACUGUUAAGAAAAUCGCACAUAUGCCUACAUACUUUGUUCCAGGUAAUUUUUAGUAACAUUGUUGGAUACAAGUAUCAUGAUGAACUAAAAGAAGGCAUCUGUCAGUAGUUAUAGGGUUGGAUGUUUUUCCACAACAAUUAAUCAUUUCUGCCACAUGUUUUCUCCCAUCUAUGCAUCAUGGAUGUAACAUAUGAUACUGUUUCAUCUGGCAGAUUCAAUGUCUGUUUGGAACCUAUUAAGAGAGUUCCGGAUCAGGCAGGUUCAUAUGGCAGUGGUCCUUAAUGAAUAUGGUGGAACUAUUGGUGUAUGUCCCUAUGAAACCCAUUUUUUAUACUUUACAAACUGGACACAGUUUAGUACUUGUUAAUAUUCUUGUUAUGCUUUCAUCCAAGGCUAGUUGCUCAAUUGAGACCAUUUUGACUUAUGGCACACAACGAGGUUCAACAUUGUUUACUCCAAUCAAUUUUUAGUUGUAACUUCCAAGCAUGCUAGUUAGUUUGCUAAUAAUUGAUGAAUGCUAGUCAGUACAUGGUGACAUUUUGAUGGCCAUUUAUUGGCAACACUACUGGCUUUUGUUCCACAAUGGUCGUGUUUUUAGCACAAGCAUGUGGUGCGAUGCUUCAAGUGAUCUUGCUGCACAGCUUAUGUAACUGCAGCAAUGGGGCACUUUUCAUCUGUUGCAGUAGCAGUCCCUGUUGUUCAUGGUUUGUUUCCUUUUAAGAUAUACCCCACACAUAGAGAUUAGUUAUGCUCCAUGCAGCAGAGAUUAUUACUUUCCACAAGUUUAGAGAUUGUUUCUUAGGAAGUAGUUAUGCUCACAGUUUGUUCAUCAGUUUCUGUUUUCAGAAGUAGUUGAUGAGCGAUGAACAUGUUUUGAUUAUGUUUGCUGCUGAAAGGAUAAUUCUUUAAGAUGUUUUUCUCAUUACUGAUGCUCAUUGGUAAAAGUUGCAAAUGAUUGGACAAAGCUACUACCCGUGAGCUUCCUUUGUCUCACAUACCCUUCGAGCAAUUACGCUUUAAUGUAGCAAUAUCUAUCCAUUACUUGCAGCAACUAAGUCCUAUUGUAUUCAGAAAUGUUUAUUAGAACAGUUUGUAAUUUCAUAUGUUUAUCACUGCAUGGGACAUUGGGAAUUACUCUGACCUUUGGCCAAAAAAAAAUGCAGAUUGUAACACUAGAAGAUGUAGUGGAAGAAAUAGUUGGUGAAAUAUUUGACGAGAAUGAUUCCAAGGUGAUUAUUUCUGGAAUUUUUUAUUUCAAAUCGCAAGUGGGUGUUCAGUGCCAUACAUAUGCAUGCUAUUAUUUUCUAUUUCUUUUUCAAAAUUAUUUCCCCCUUUCUUUUGGUUUAUUAUUCCCUUUUUGCCUUGUAACUAUCGUUCUUAUAUUACAUAACUGACUUUUCAUAUGUUGGUAAUAAAUAAUGAUAUGCUAGCAUUUGAACUUACGAAAUUUAGUGGGCCAAACAUACUGAGCCAUGCCAAAAAAGACAGGCAAAUCAUACAGUCAUAUUUUAGCAGCAGCAGUGCAUUAGCGCGGUGGGUACUGAGCCGGAGUUUGCAUGUGCCUGAAGGUGGCUGAAUGAAUAAGGUGGAUAUUACCCUACCCGCACCCAAAUCAAAAUGUGUAUUUUAUUUCUACCCAUACCCUCCCCAAUUAAUGCGGGUGUGGAUUUGAAUAUGGGGAUUGAAUAUCCAGCGGCAGGUAUAAAGAUUAGAUCUCCUGCCUCAGUGCUUCUCCAAGAUCUGGAAGCAGCUGCUUCACUCCUAUUUUCUGUAUCCUAGUCAAAACAAAGGAUUUUUCCAUGUAGCAAGCUAGUUGCUCUUUGUCAUUUGCUUAGGCAGUCUCUCAAUUCCUUCUGCUACUCUGUUUUUCACCCUUUCAGGAGGAAAUCCAGAAGAAAACAGGCUAUAUAGUGAGGCGGGGAGAUGGAACAUUUGAUGUUGAUGCAAAUACAUCAAUAGAUCACCUCUCUGAAGAGCUUGGUAUCAAAAUACCAGAGGUAUUGUUUCUCAUUUGAUCUUAGCUUUCUCUACAGUUGCUAUGCAUUCCCUUGGACAUGUGUAUAUUUAAGGAAGGUAUGGCUCGGAAAAUAGUAGAUUGAUUAUGAGUAGUACAAAAGGGUAGGCAAGGAUGAUCUGGGAUUUAUAGAACAAUACCCAAUCAGGGAGAUCCUUGCCUAAUAGCUAAUCAACUACAUAAAACCCAUGGAGGCAGGCUUAGGUGCCAGGGCCCAUGCGGCCAGCCCAAUAGCCCUCUGGAAACUCCAUUCUAACAUAUAUGUUGGAGUGGACACUGUAUGAUGAUCAUCGAAAUGUGAGUUCCAUCAUUUAGAGAUGCCUGGUUUGCAGAACCUAUACAGAUAUAACGUUAUUAUAUCUAUUUUUUGGUGGAAACUGGACAUUUAAUAUUUAGGUCAACAAAAUAUUCACAAAUGUUCUGUUUGUAAAAUAUGCCCUUGGUAGUCAUCAUUUAUAUGGUGCUCUGUAUUUCUGUCAUGUUUCUCGUAGAUUGGCUGAUAAUCUUGAGACACUUGGACACUAUCUUUUGGCAGGGGCAUCAGUAUGAGACGGUGUCUGGUUUUGUCUGUGCAUCUUUUGGCUAUAUUCCAGAAGAAGGUGGGAAAAUGCUUGUGAUUCUUGAAAAGGAUUACAGAGAAGAAAACGGUGAAUAUCAGGAGGAAGGUUCUGAUCGCCAAGAUGAUAGAGAAAAAACUCAAGCUUACGAACUUGAGGUAAUUGUUACAACUCCUUGUGUACUCUGUUUGCUCAAGAGUUCUAGUACCAGGUCAAUUAUUAUAAUGCGAUUAUCUUGUCAUCGCUAGAAAUCUUUACUAGUAUAUAUAACUAUUAUGAAUUUUCCUUCAUUACUUGAAAGCUGAAAGACACCACAAAAGCUUCAAUUUUCUUUGUUGAUGCAAUACCAUGAAACCUUUUUUGUUAAAUAACUCUCAUUAGAACCAAUUUUCCAUACAGGGCAUUUGGUUCUUAGAUCAUUUUAUAGGAUAUUUCGUACUAUAAGUAAGAACCAACUACUAUCCACAAUUACCUCUACAUGCUUGUUUGUGCAUAUAAAAAGACAACAAUACUCAGAAGGUUGCUGUAACAUGUCCACACUCCGCUUUUGUGGUGCUAAUACUACCGAACAUUUGUAAUUGCUUUUUUUAUUUGAAGCUAAAAAAAGAAAGUAUACAAAAACUAAUAGAUAAGAAAACCAACUACUCAAUUGUCAAUUCAGAAUUCAUACUGUGGGUUAUAAGGUUAUUUCAGUGAAAUUGUUUUGGUAUUGGUACACAACCUUUAUUAGUUGGUGCAACUCCCAUUUCCGGAAGUCUUCGUACACUUUAAUUGAAUUGCUGCAGCCCUAGGAAUCCAUAGUUUCUGUUUCACAAUUCACCCAAAGUUUCAUUCUUUGUUGCAGAAUUAAAUAACCUUCUGUAGUUGUUUUCACUACCUUUAUUACCUGGCUUCUCUUGCUCACAGAUAGUGGAAGCUAAUGCAAGGAAGGUGGGCAAAGUCCUAUUUAAGCCAAUAAGCAGUGAAUGUGUUGGUGUUGACAACAAGGGUGUGAACCGCCUGGUCUCCAAGAAGAUCAUCAAACGGAAGAAGCAGGGCUAUGAUGAUUCCUCCGGUGACGAGUAUCCAGAUACAACAGAGAAUGGCUGCCCUGCUGAGGCACUCUCCUACUCGGAUGGUAACAGUGCCUUGUUGGAAGAUGCAAGCAGUUCUAGUGCCAAGAGGUGACAAUAAAGGAACUCCAAGACCAUCGUACUACUGGUAAUAAUUACAGCACACCGUCACCGGUCCUAAUACCCCUUGUUACAACAGAAGAAGAUGAGAAGAACAUAGUAGUAGGCUACCCAAAAAAAAAAACUGCGAGAGCAACACCAAGAGGUUAACAGCAGUUUAAGGCAUUGCAACAUUUUUCAGUAGCAGGAGUAGCAGUAGUAGCAGUCUAGAGGUGCAGCGAGGUGUCGACGUCGACUUCACCAGAGACAUGUUUGUAGUUGUAGGUCUUACUGGGCCACAGCUCCACCGCAAUGGGGUCGCUAUCGCCGUGGAGCUGGAAGCUUUUGCAUUCACAGACAGUGGUUGGCACGGCCGGGAAUAAGGAGGCUGCGGCGGCAACAGCGGCAGUGGUUUCCCGCAGCGGCCUGCACGGGUAGAGCAGCUCCGGGUGGAAGAACCACUUGACGGGCAUCUCCCUCGGGGAGGCGGUGGCCGCAGGGCGGGGGGCGAGCACGUGGAGAAGCCUCUCCUCCCGCUUCUCCCUGAUCCUCUCCAGCUCCCUGAACCUCUGCUGCAGCAGGGCGAUGGAGGAGAACAUCACCUGGCCUUCGCUGCUCUGCACCCCCAUGAUGACUGGGCGAGAGGGGGAGCUCUCACUCCAGCUCCGAGUUUCAGUUACGUGUUCGUGUCGUGUGUAUCUCACUCAAGCGUCUGUCUACUUCGCUCGGUGUGUGUGGGGGUUUUGCUUGCUGCUUGAAGGGGUGGUGGUCUUGGGCAUGUGCGUAUUUAUAAGCCGCAAAGUUUUGUCACGGCGCAGGGCGUCGUCUUGUGGUCGUCUUGCAAGUUGCGCCAAUUCUUUCAUCUUCAUCUUCCAUUAUGUGAUGCUAUGCCUGUUUGUGUGUUUUGUUUAUGGGCUGAUUGAAAAACAAAAGAGGCACUAUUGGUAUGAGAGAGAAUCUGGGAGGAGAAUGUCACGUCGCCCGAGAAAGGAAGUGGGAGGCGUGCAGGUGAGAGAAUAAGGGGCGUGGCGUGGGAGAGUCCAAGGAAAUGGGGCUGUGGACGCUUGCGCUUGUUCCGUUCCUGGCGGUGGGAAUCGCCGUGUGCCGUUGUGAUGUGCGGGGUGGCCAUGAUUGCGCCUCUGUUUGUCUGUCACCUUUUUCCCUUGCGCAUUGCUGCAGCAGCAGGGCAGGGGAGAGGUCUGCAUGCCCUGCCAUGCCCUGCCCUGCUGCUCGUACUAGCUCGCUACUACUCCCUUCCCCCUCUCCAUCCAAACGGGCACUGCGAGCUUUUCCUGGUCUAUAAUGGCGUCGUUGGAGCUGUAGUACGUGCUGUUCGUAGCAACUGUGGGCAGCGCUUUCAGGUGUGGAACUGUGCACUCCAUGAGCCAUUGUCUUCGUUUGCGUGUGUGAACGUGUUGGAGAGUCUGGGAGCAGAAAGUCUGCGUUGAACGUUACUUCUUUGGGUCUUUGACUGGUGCGUCCAUAGAUCUGUGAAUGGGAGCGCUGAUUGCACGCUGCGUAGUACAGUGCGUUCGAGUAACGCUGAGACGGCGUGCUGCUUUGAAGUUUCAACUUUUGGUUAAUUCAGGAAAGUUGAUUGAUCUUAUGUUUUUUGACGGCCAGGUAAACACGGCCAAUUGCACCGGCGUCAAAAAGACCUCUGUCAUCCGAUGCUUUGGACAGUAAUUGAGAUAUUCGUAACAAAUGCUUCACUACCCGAAGAGAAAACUAGUUUUCGUUGGUUUCCGCAUUUUGUGAAAAUAAGAAAGGGCAUGUUUGAGUCAGAGUCGGGUUAUUAUAAUUGGAUUAUCGACUCUAAUAAUUAGAGUGCUAGAUUUUUUGUGGUGGAACCUAUCCAUUUCUUGCCUAGCCAGCCAACUAUCAUGAUGCUACAUGGUAUUUAAGUAACGACCAUUUUCUCAAAUGGUCAAGGAUUAUAUUCUUCUUUGAUUUUUUUUUCCCUUCAAGUGGCCUAGGGUUUUGUAGUCUAAUGUGAACAAUAUCAGGUGAAAACAAAAUAGCAUCAAAGAAUAGAUAGCCAAAAUGCCUAACGAAAAGGAAAAUUGUGGGUUACAUGUCUCAUGAAUUAUUUGAUGAAGUAGAAUAAGAUACGUUCGGUUAUUUGAGAGAAAAAAAAACUGCACAACAUAAAAAAAUAACUGUUUGCCUAGUUGGCUAAGAAAAAAUAUAGUGGGCUCCAUGGCUCCUAAGACUCUUUAAAUAUCAUGUAAAUGGAUAUAAAAGAAGUCAAUAAAUCAUUCUGCUGAUAUUGACUGAAUUAUUUGCUAUCAACAAUUAUCCAAAAAAGAUUUCUUUAAGAAUAAUAUUUCUACCAUGUAAAACAAGAAGAAAAAGACAAAUUAAUCGGAACUUUUGUUUGUGGCUGGAACUAUUGUAAAUGUCAUUGUUGAGUUGAGAUAUUUUUUUUUUGAAGUUCCCUUUUUGCGAGGAAUGAGUAAUCUGAACGUUAUUUGUUUGUGGUUGUUGAUUCCCUGGAGCUGUUAUAGAAGUCAUUAUUGAGUAGAGAUUUUUUGAAGUUCCUUUUUGCAACGAAUGAGUAAAUAGUUGCAUAGAUGUUUGAUGGUAUUAGCAUACUCUGCUUCUAAAAUAAUGAAAGGGAUUUUCCGUUACUAUUUAGUUGUGGACUGAGGCCUGAAGAAGUAUGUUUUGAAACUCGGAAUUUCAUGGAGGAUUUGUAGGAAUCCCAUAUAUAAUAAACAUGUCAAAAUUAAUCCUCCUAUAUUUUCUUGGUCAUUUUCUAGAGCUAGGCUCAUUUAUCUUUAAUUUGUCUAGUGAAGAGUAUAUGUAUAUCCUUUGCUCCAAACAUGUAGUGGUGAGUGGAGUUUACUAAUAUUAUUAUGUGUAGUUAACCUAGAACUAGAAGCUUGGUAACUGAGCCUUAUCUAAUCUGGCCCUAAACUAACUUAUCAUCCAAACUGAUCAGUUGGAGUCUUGUGACGAUGAUAUCUCUGGUUUGUUGUGGAACGGGACUAGUACUGCCGGACAUAUUAUACAUUGGAUGCAUGCGACAUAUAUACAGUGUUGAACUUGUUUAUAUUAAUUUAUCCUGGAUAGCCAAUAGUAGCCCAUAACAUUAACAUGCAACAUAGUAUAUGCAUUUGCAUGUACUGCUAGUUCCCUGCUACGUACGAUCCUGACAGUAGGCACCUAAUCUUUCCAUGCCCCAAUAUUUUACCGCCGCUGUCGCUUCCAUUCUAGAGAGAGAACAAUAUGACCAUCUUGUAAAACAUUCUAGAGAAGAGAUGCAUGGAGAGUAUGGCAAUAAUUUAAGCAGAUUGAUGGGAGCGAGAUAUUUUUAAAGGCAGAUCAUCGAUUGAUGCAUGGGAGCGAGAGAGCUUAGCAGAGAAAAUAAAGAAGAUUGGUGAUUGGUGAUAGGCCGGGGCAGCCGUGGUGCAGCAGCAGCUAGAACUAGAGAAGCUAAAAGGAAGGCUGAUGGCAGGGCAGGGCAGUAGUUUAAGGACGGGUCCAUGCCUGCAGCUAGCUAGCAUCUAUCGACGUUCCUCCGUUGUCGCGGAGCCGGUGGACGCGAAUGGCAUGCGUGGGUGCACUACCCUGCUGAUGCACACAGCAUGCAUUGCUGCCUGCAUGCGACAUGGUAUACAGCUCCCGGCCGGCGUCUCUCCUCUCCUCUCUUCUCUUCUCUUGUCCAUCCAUCGGCAGCAUACGGUCGGUCACUCGCAGCAUGCAUGCUCCUCUGAUCGAGCUCUGCUGGUGUCGUGUCGUGUCGUCGAUGGAUCGGGGCCGGGUUGGGUGUUGCUGCAUUGCAUGCUCCCUAAAGCGCCGCCCUUGUUGCCAAAGUGAAUGCUGCCGACGACGACCGCCGCGCCGCCCGUCUUCUUUUUCGGCGGAGGGGGGCGGCCGGGCACGGGCACGGGCACGGCACAGUCUUCCGGGCAGGGGCAGGGGCAGCCGGGCAAGCCAACACCUGCUAGCGGACGAGAAAUUGAAUCGAAUGGGAAACAAAGAAAAAAUUGAUGGCUGAUGGCUCCAUCUUUCUUUCUGUCUGUCUGUCUGUCGGUCAGUCAUUUUACUAAUUUAUUUGACUGCGCUACGGAGACGACAGUGUAACAUUUUUAUUUGUAUUUAAUAAUUAUUAUUUAACUAUAGACUAAUUAGGCUCAAAAGAUUCGUCGCGUAAACUAUAGACAAACUGUGCAAUUAGUUUUUAUUUUCGUCUAUAUUUAGUACUUUAUACAUGUGCCACAAGAUUUGAUAUGACGGGAAAUUUUAAAAAGUUUUUGAAUUUCGAAGUGAACUGGUCAAAUAUGCAAUGCUUGUACGUGCGCACUAGUUUAUGCCAAUGAUUCAUUUUUCGCGGAUCCUCCGAAUUUCACACCAUACAGUCAGAAUAUAAUUGCUCCAAGACACGUCAAUUUUGAUGCGUCAAUUUGUGCAUGUGGUUCCUGGCACUACUGGAUCCGGCUUCUUUGCCGAGAGCCGCGAGCCCUCGGCAAAUGCCUAAAAGCCCUCGGCAAAGGCUUUGCCGAGGGCCAUAAACGCCCUCGGCAAAGCCUACGGCGCCGUCGAAAAACGUCAAUAUUGACGUCGUCUUUGCCGAGAGCCAUGCUGGCAGGCUCUCGGCAAAGAUUCUUUAUUUUUUUUAAAAAAAGCCUUUGCCGAGAGCCCUGCAGGAAGGCUCUCGGCAAAGAACCCCUUUGCCGAGAGCCAGACAUCCAGGCUCUCGGCAAAGAACCCCUUUGCCGAGAGCCAGACAUCCAGGCUCUCGGCAAAGCUGUAGUUCUUCUGAACCCGGCUUUCUAUCUUUGCCGAGUGCCAGCCAUCCAUGCUCUCGGCAAAGCUGAGAAUUUAGUUUUUUUUUCUGUUUUUUAUCUGUUUUUUACAUGCACAGCCACAUAUGUAUAUAUAUAUAUCACAAAUCCCUUUGUCUAUAUCACAAUCCACAUAUAUAUCACGCAUGAAACAUAUCGAAGUCCACAGAUAUCACAAAUCCACAUAGAUAUGACAAAUAUAACAUUACGUCCAACAUAAACCAUAAGUCACCACAAGUUCAUAACAUAAACCACAAGUCCACGUGAAUAUCACUCCUCGAAGUCGCUAGCGCCUCACCCCUAGUGCUGUGACUCUGACCUGUCGUCGCCGUGGCCUCCGUCGUGUCCCGAGCCUCCAUCUGGCCAAGCCGACCAGGGUGAGUGCCCCCCAGGGUGUGUAGAGCUCGCACCUGCCCACGGCGCCCACAUGGCCUGCCCUGGCACCGACGGGUACGGGUACGAGUACCCGGGGCGCGGAGGAGGGCUGCCGGACAACCCGGGGUGGCCGUGCUGCGGAUGGGCACCAGGCCACGUGUGCUGCGUACUUGGGUGGCCAUAAGUAGUAACCUGCCACCCACUCCUUGGAGAAGGGGUCGGGUUCGAACCCCACGACUGAUGCUACAUAAUAUAAAAGCGAACUCAUUAGUAUCUGCAGGACGGCCACACAAGCCAAAGCAAUAGACAAACAUAUAUACACUCACCGGACUGCCUGCAGGGGCAGGAACAGGGGGUGGAACAGGGGGUGGAGCGAAGAGCGAGGCAGGCAGCGGAGGCGCUGUAGAGCUGUGGAUGGACUGGAAGUAUCCGACUAGGUCCGAGAUCUGACGCUGCGUGUGCUGCUGCUGUGCCUCCAUGUGGCGCCGAUGGGCCUCGUCUCUGGCCGCCAGCGCGGCCGCCAGCUCUCGCCGAUGAGCCUCCUGCAGCUCGUCCUGCCUGGCCCGCAACUCCUCUAGCUGCGACUGCAAUAUUACACCCGCAAUGGUUAAACAAUGCAAAAGGAGAUGUAUAUAUGUAAAAAUAAUGGACGAUGGAUAAAGCUGUAGUUACCUGCAUCGUAGCUAUCUGCUGCACGGAGCUCGGCUGACGAGGCCGUAUGGGGACGUCGGAGGUCGAGCUGCUCCCCUGCCGAACCUCGCGGAGCGUGGGUACGGUGGCCGGGUUGAUUGCGCUGUGGGCAAUCAUGUACCGGCCGUGCUGCUUCCCUCCUCCCGUCCUCAUGAGCAAGUCCGUGUCCGAGACCCUUUGCCGUGGGCCGUCCAGUCUGGCUCUCGGCAAAGACCCUUUGCCGUGAGCCUAACGCGCAGGCUCUCGGCAAAGAACUGCUGACUUUUUUUAUUCUUUUUGAAUUUAGAGCUGAGUUUUUUUUUUUGUCCUUGUGACUCAAUUUCUAAAUACAUUUUAAAAUUUGGCAUUAAUUUGACUUUUUUUGCUAUAUUUAACUAAUUAAUCUUGUUUCUUUAUAUUUUUUCACAUAAUUCAAAUUUCAACUGUAGGUACAUGAAAUAUUACAACUCAAUGAUUCGAAAAAUGAUAGUCAAGAUAUUUGGUGUACGUUGAGGUCGUAACCACAACCACACAUGAAAUCUCAACCCUCUCGCUAACAUAACAUGUCAAGGAAUGUGAGGGAAAAUGGAUUUAUAAUUAUAUAAAUUUCAAAUAAACUCCAAAAAUCACGAAACUUGGCGACGUGUCGUGUUAUCGCAUGUGGAGGCUGUGGUAAAAAAUUCAUAAGGUUCCGAGCAAGUUGCGACACCGGAUGUCUAAAACCCAGACAUCUCCACAUGUUAUCGAAUGUGAUCACAUGCGGAGAUGUCUGGGUUUUAGACAUCUCGUGUCGCAACUUACUCGAAACCUUAUGAUUUUUUUACCACAGUCUCCACAUGCCAUAACAUGACACAUCGUCAAGUUUCGUGAUUUUUGGACUUCAUUUGGAAUUUAUAUAAUUAAAAAUCACUUGUACGACACAUGGAUGGUCAUGUUUUAUAUACAAGAAAUUCAAACUCUUGGGUGAGUUUAUGGAUACAACAUCAAAAUGCAGUCUUGAACAUGAGUAUAAUUUUUUGAAUGACUAUAUUUUAUUAUUUCAUGCUCCUACAGUUCAAAAUUACUUUUUCGAGAAAAAUACAAAUAAAAUAAUUUAAUUAAAAAAUAUAGCAAAAUGUUAUAAAAAGCUCUCAAAUUUGAACAUGUGCUUAUAUACAAUAUGUAAGGGUUACAGAAAAAGUUUGAGUACAAAACUAAAAAAAAUCUUUCUUCUUUGCCGAGAGCUUGACAAGGCACUUGGCAAAGGCCUCCUCUUUGCCGAGAGCCUAACGCCGUGGCUCUCGGCAAAGGUGACGACAACGGUUGCCGUUACCAGCGCUGCUCCUUUGCCGAGAGCCUAUCUUUGCCGAGAGCUAGGCUGUCGGCAAAGCUAGCCUUUGCCGAGGGCUUGCCUUUGCCGAGAGCUUGACCAUCGGUAAAGUUUCUUUGCCGAGGGUCGUUUCUGACUGUCGGCAAAGGCAGUCUUUGCCGAGGGCUAGCUCUCGGCAAAGCUGAGCCCUCGGCAAAGCUCUCGUUUCCUGUAGUGUGGGCUUUGAAUUGAUCGAUGGCAAAAAGCCGUAAUGGAAGCACGUCGCGUCUUGAAUGCAUGCACUAUAUAGGAAUAUAGCUACACAAAAGAAGAGAAAUAAUGACACACAUAGUAGUAGCUAGCUAGUAAAGUGUGUAUGUAAGGCCUUGUUUAGUUCCCAGAAAAUUUUGCAAAAUUUUUCACGGUCCCCGUCACAUCGAAUCUUUAAACGCAUACAUAAAGUAUUAAAUAUAGACGAAAAUAAAAACUAAUUGCACAGUUUGGUCGAAAUAGACGAAACGAAUCUUUUGAGCCUAGUUAGUCCAUGAUUGGAUAAUAUUUGUCAAAUACAAACGAAAGUGCUACAGUGUCGAUUUUGCAAAAUUUUUCGGAACUAAACAAGGCCUAAACCUAAAAGCCCAUGCAUUAUUGCUUUUUAAAAAGUUAAAGCGGUGAUGGAUGGUUUUGUUCAUGGCUCGAGGAGGAUGUGUCCUAGCUAGUUGUUGGUGGGGGAGGUGAGAGUACCUAGGAAAAUUUGCUUACAUUUUCCUGUACAUGCAUGCAUGCAACGCUAAUUGGAUGGAUAUGGUCGGAACAUGCAUGGGUCCACCAUUCACAUCUCUUGGUCCUACACGCACGCCUACUAUUGUGAUGCGUCUCAGCUUUUUAAUGUGCCUGCGUUGCAUGCAUGCAGCUGGGUACGUAAGGACACGCCGCAAGCUGCCCAAACUCUAGCUCUGCUUCCCGCAUUGCAUUGCAUUGUAUCUACCUCGUGGCGCAUUAGGGUUAGAGAGAGAGAGAGAGAGAGAGAGAGAGAGAGAGAGAGAGAGAGAGAGAGAGAGAGAGAGAAGUGUGGUAUAGCUAGCAUGCAUCCAUAUAUAUCCGAUCGACCUGUAGUUCAUGGCACAUUCAUUAGGUUUGGAAGAGUGAGAUCGAGGCAGGACGAUAUGUAGUACGUCGUCGUCCUUCGUAUAAACGGACAUUCGCUCAAUGUUGAAUUGUUGACAGACGACGAUGCGCGCGGCACUUUGUUUGACCAUGCAUGCAUUCAUCCGUGCAUGCAUGGAGCGUCUAUGUGCUUGUCCCUGAAUAAACUAAUUAAUCACUGCACGAACUCGAUCGCCUUGCUGUCAACUUAGCUUAGCUUAUUACAAGUGUGUUAACGACAAGCAAUCAUGGAAAUGAGCUGCAUAUAGACACUGUUCACAAUGCACGUUAUGUUGGAGCACUAGCUAUAGCUAAUUAAUGAGCCAGCAAUUAACAAAACGCCUGCUAAACCAAAAUAUGCAUUUAAGCCAUGUUUCGUUUCCUCCGGUAAAGUUUAACUCCUGUCAUAUCGAGUGUUUGGACACAUGCAUUAAAUAUUAAAUAUAAAUUAUUUACAAAACUAAAAUAAAACUAGAGAGUAAUUUGCGAAAUAAAUCUUUUAAAUCUAGUUAGUCUAUAAUUAGAUACUAAUUGUCAAAUAAAACAGAAAUAUGCUAUAUGCUACAGUACAUCCUUAACCGGCAAGUACAGGCCGGGUGAGGCAUGUCGGAUGCUAGAGAUGGCCAAAUGGGCUAAGCCCAAUAAUACGCAGCCUAAGCACAUAUGGGCCUACUAAAGCAUCGCAUUACAUUAUGGGUCGAGCCACUAUGUGUCUCGUGCCCUUUUUUACCAUUCAAAAUGGGUGCUCUCAGGAUGGAUCAUAAUUAUGCCCCUUUUUAAUUCGAGAGCAAUGUUGAUCAAAUUUCGUCGUAGUUGCAGCACAGCCAAAAAAAAAAACUAACAAAAAGAGCCUGUCAGACAACCCAUGGGCCAUCCCAGCCAGGCAAGCCUGGCCGGAAACGAUCAUCUACAGCACCGGACAAAGCGUCAGAGCCAAUCCUGGCCGUUAAUCACGCUCUGGCCCACAGGUCAUGGCUCAUCAACCAGGCUUAAGUGCUUGCCUCCUUAUUAAUCAAGGAUGCAGCGGUACGAUCCUAUAGAACAGAUCCUGUUCAAGUAAGGUCGU